GGAAAUACUGUUUUCACUUGAAUGAAAAAUGAAAAUUUUAGGUCGUAUUUUUGGGUUGUUACAUUGUUUGUUUUUUUGUCGGUCUUGAAUAUCAACGACUCUAUGUAAGUAAUCUGUUGUCCCUGGUUGAAGUUGAAUGUGUCCAGGUUCCGUAGGCGAAUAGUCUACAAUGUUUCGUCAUUUAUUUUCAAUCACCAUGUUAUGCAGAAUGAUACAUGCAUACAUAAUAUCUCGUAGAGUGUCCAACUCGUAUGGUCGUUCCGCAUGUUCAACUAUGUGACAUUUUGCUUUCAGAACUCUGAAAGUACGUUCCACGUCCUUACGUGCUCCUUAUUGUCUUCUCUUGAAAAAUUUGUUUAUCGGUUAUAUCUGGUGUCGAAACGCCAUCACAAACGUGGAAUAUGGUGGGUAUAUUCCAUCCGUGAGGUAAUACCCGAACUUAUACUCAUCGUCAUUUACUGUGAAAGGAGCAUCUGGUGCCUUUCCUGUCAAAAGGUCCUGAAAUAUUGGUGACUAAUGAAGAACGUUUACGUCGUUGUUAGAACCCGCAACUCCAAAAAAAGCAUGCCAAAUCCAUAAGUCUUGUGACGCAACAACCUCUAAUACUAACGAAGACGAUCCAAGAUGAUCACUUGUGUAUUGACCUUUCUAUGCCACAUGACAAUUUCUCCAUAUCGACUUUGUGCAAUCAAUGCUUCCAAGCAUUCCCGAAAAACUAUGUCGUUCUUCUUGCGCCGCAUAUAGUUAUUGCAUGUCAUUCAAUGAACGUUUGCGCAAGUAUUUGUCACUGAAGGUUUUGAUAACACCUCUCGCCAAUCUAUACAAACUUUCUCAUGCAGUUCACUCUGACAAUCUAUAAUAAUAUAAACAUAUAUUUAAUUUUUAAAACAACUGUAAUUACGGUACUUGCUUUCCAUUGCAUUGACUAUUCGUUGAAACACAUUUUUCCGCAAACGAAACCUUCUUUUAAAAUCGCUAGGUUGGUAGACACAAUUAUCCGCAAAAUAAUCGUGUACUAGACGUCUAUUCCCUUUGAUGCGUGCAAAUUAUACCUACCUAGCUACACCUAAUUUUAUAUUUAUAACCUAACUAACUUAACUAACUAAAUUGCACCUAGGCACUGUACUUAGUCAAAUUAUAGAAUAGUCGGGUAAGUCGGGUGUCGAUCAUAGGGAAGGGUUUUAACUAAUUAAUCUACCUACUAUUAAAUUAACCUAAUUUCUAAUAAAGUGGGGGGGUUUUUUUUAUCUAAUUUUGCAAGUUUAGAUGAACUUAAUUCGUAACACAAAAUUCAAUCAAUUAACAAACACUUAUGUUAGUUCAAAUCCACUUCCCCUCAAUGGUUUAUAAAUUAGUUAUGACAAUUACUGUUGGUUACCAAUUAAGAUAGUAUUAGCAAUUCAGUUCUAAAUUUACUAACAUUGAUUAAUUAAUGUAAAUCUAUGCAUUGUCACACAAUAGUUAACUUAAAAUCAAUUAUUAAAUGAAAUUGGAGCCAUGUAAGAUUGAUUUGAAAAACACACUUAUGGUCAUAAUAUGAGUUCUCUAGCACAUCCUAAUUCAAUAGUUCAAUUAUUUUUCUAAGAUUUGUUUGAUCUUAGCUCUAAUAAACUAGUGUUCACUGAAUUAUUAAGUAUUCAAAUUCAUGCAUAUUCAUAUUCACUAACUACACAUAAUAAGAAUUUAAAGCAAUCAAAUAUUAAAUCAAACAUGCUAGGUUCAAUCAAUCAAACACAAGUCAUAACCAAAAAGUAAAUCAAAACUAAAGUAUUGAAACCAUGAGUUCCAGCUUCAUCUAGCUAACAGAAGCAGCUAGAUUUAGCUGGACAUACUAGCAAACAAACAUAAACAAAUCAUAUUCAAAGACAUAUUUAAAUGUACCAAACUAUUAAGCUAAUAAUGAACUUCUCCUUCUUCCUUGGUGUUGAAAGCCAAUUCCAAACGUUUUCUCCCUCUGGAUUUUGUCUCCAGGAACCCUCCAAGUUGUCCAAAAGUCCCUCAAAGUCGUAAUGAUCAAGAGAAUAUAUAGUUAUCAUAAAAUUCACUCUCACGUCGUGAAUGAGUAUGACUCACGACGUGAAUGCAGUAGAUAUCUGUGUUCUACAAGGAUUCCUCCUCCGCGAUGCUUAUCUUCUGGAAUAGUUCCAUUCACGUCGUGAAUAGUUAUGACUCACGACGUGAAGUUAGCAGAUUACAGGGAUUUCCUCUUCUUUCAUUCUCCAAGCCUCCAAAGUUCCAUGCUUUGUCAAUUUCAGUCAUUUUCUCCCAAAAUACUUCAAUUUGGCUGCAAAGUACAAUUAAAGCUUAUAAGCAUCAUUAUUUAAUGCAAAUAACCAAAAUAUUAAUAAAAAUGUAAGUAAAUAUUGCCCAAAAACAUGUAUAAAUAUGGCAGUAUCACCCUUCUUCACGAUCUCUGUUCAACGCCGCACGUCUGGUCAGUAGUGGAGCUGGCUUUGGCGGUAACAUGUAUGUAACAUAUCGAUACAUCAUACCCACGAACAUAUCAUUCUCGUCGAUAUCAUGAUUAUAUGGAUGAAACGGGUCAAAAGGUUCCAUUUUUUUUUUGUAAAUAGAAAUAUAGAAAAUAUAUUAAACUUGAUAGAAAUGUGUAUUAGAGAGAAUUAGAUAAAUUUUCUAUGUAAAGAUAAGUUAGAAUGUGUGUGUGUGUGUAUAUAUAUAUAUAUAUAUUAAAGUAAUUUUUUUUAUUAUUCGUGACCGUUCCACAUCGGUCAGAAAGUAGACCGUUUAUCCCGUUUCGUCCCGUUAUCACCCACACACCGAAUAUCGUAACGCCAAAAAAACGUGUACCUGGAGGCGGUGUUUGCACCGUUAUACCAACAUUUUUUGAUGUACACGUCGGAUUAACGGGCACUUCGGUUGCCCAUUCCGAGUAGUCUAAAUGUCAAAAUGCAAUGAAGAAAAAGAUUCAUUACAAAUGUCAAUUAUAAGUAUGUAGAAGGAUAAAAUAUAAAAAAGUUAUUAUCUUUUGGGAUAUACACAGUAAAGUCCCAAUAUUUUCAUCGAUUUGACAAGAAAAUCCUGAACUUUAUUUUUUUGACAGUAAAGUCCAAAUUACCGGCAGUUUUUGACACUUUUACAUUUUUUUCCCGAUUAGCCGGUAAUUAGGACUUUUUUGUCAACAAAAUAAAGUUUAGGACUUUCUUGUCAAAUCGUCAAUUAGGACUUUACUGUUAAAAAAAAAAAUAAAGUUUAGGACUUUUUUUGUCAAAUCGUUGAAAAAAUUGAGACUUUAGUGUAUAUAUAAUUUUUUUGGUUAGAAACUUAAUGAUAUGAUACUCUUUACGCAUAAGAGUUAUUGAAACAUUCUCUAAUCAGCUAGAUCAUAUUGAAAUCCUUUACGUUUGCUUCUUGUUAAAUCGUUAUUUUAAUCUCAACAAACUGACAUUGAAAAAAAUUGAGAUAAUCAAGAAAGAAAGAAAGAACCAGGGUUGUGUUGGCUUUUUGCAGUCUCAAAAAUGGAGAAAUUAGAAACCUACAAAAACGAAAAUGCCCUGACUUUUUACAAAUACAAACAACACGUGCCUAGUCAAAAUGGUGUGAAUGUGGAGAAGGGAAAGAAGGACAAUUUCGUUUUUUUCGGUUUCUUAUUUCUCCAUUUUUGGGGUUGCAAAAAGCCAACACAACCCUGGUUCUUUCUUUCUUUCUUGAUUAUCUCAAUUUUUUUCAAUGUCAGUUUGUUGAGAUUAAAAAAACGAUUUAACAAGAAGCAAACAUUAAUGAUUUCAAUAGAAUCUAGCAUAUUAGAGAAUGUUUCAAUAACUCUUAUGCUUAAAGAGUAUCAUACCAUUAAAUUUCUAACCAAAAAAAUUAUAUAUACACUAAAGUCCCAAUAUUUUCAACGAUUUGACAAAAAAAGUCAUAAACUUUAUUUUUUUUGACAGUAAAAUCCUAAUUGACGAUUUGACAAGAAAGUCCUAAACAUUAUUUUUUUUGACAAAAAAGUCAUAAUUACCGGUUAACCAGAAAAAAAUGGUAAAAAUGUCAAAAACUGUUGGUAAUUUGGACUUUACUGUCAAAAAAAUAAAAUUUAAAACUUUUUAUCAAAUCGAUGAAAAUAUUAGGACUUUAUGGUAUAUAUCCCUUAUAACUAAAUAGCAACUAUAAUGUGUGGAGUUUGGUAAAUUCCGCUUGGGUUUGGUCUCUACAACCCAUUCAACCCCAAGGCUAUUCUAGUAAUUUCCCCACUAGAAGGAGCUAGGUUCCGCUGCCUUUUAAGUCUAGGUUUUCACUAUCAUCACUCUCACUCAUCGUUUUGUGGUUUCCUGUGGAGAAGAGCAGCAGAUACUCAACAACUUGCAGGCUCUAUUUUCUCAUCGCCAUCAGGUAUCUGUAGGUGUCCUAAAAUCUACGGUUAGGGUUUUGUUAGCACAGUAAUUCAUGGAAAAUGUUGAAAUCUCACUUGUUACCGUCGAUUCAAUCUUUAUUUUUUAGGAAAAAACAUCGGUUCACCAUAUCGUUAUAAUUGUUAUGAUGAUUUUGGUAUCAUCGAUGAAGUUUUAUGUGUUAUGUUUUCGUUGUAAGCUGGAUGUUUCAGGAUGUUUGAUGAUGUGUGCGAGAAUUUCAUUUUAGGGUUUAUGGUGUAUGUUUGCUUUCUUAAAUAGCGUCUACAUGUUAGCUAAUAUAAAUAGUUACCUUGAUGUUUAUAUAUUGGUUGCCACUCGGCUUCUUCAUCUUUGAAAACAAUGCGAUUAGACCCCCCUUAGGUUUGGAUCUAUGCUUAGAUGUGGAUUGUGUAAUUUUUCUCGUGAAAACUAUUGGAUAAACUUGCUUCGUUUUUUGCACCAUGGAAAGCUUAUUUAUGAUUUAAGCCUGGUUCCAACUUUGUUUGUGGGGUUAAUUUGCUACUUUUAAUGUCUAUAUGUAAAGUAUCAGUUGCUCUCUUUUAGGGUUUAUGUUUAGGUGUCUUAUUACCUCGACAACAAGCAAUGGUGAUGGGAUUAGAUCAUAUGUGAAGUUCUUUUGGGGUGCAUGGAUUAUUGCAUGUGAUGCCCUAUAAUAGUUUUAAUAUAUCAAUGGCUGUAAAUUAUCUGUCCAUAUUAUGCUAUGGUUAUCUGUCUAUUAAACUGUUUUCUUUUUGAACAUGUAAUGUGCAGAAAGAGUGCUUUGAGGAAUGCUGGAUUGAUUGGUCCCAAAUACAAAGAAGAUGAGCAAGAAGAACCCAUUUGUAUACUUGGAUGUGUCUAUAGAUGGAGAUCCUGUUGAAAGGAUGGUUUUUGAGGUCUUUAUUAUAGCUUUAACCUUCUAAGAUCUUUCUUUUAUUCUUUUUUCUGCCAGAUGGCAUUGCCACAUCACUUAUUAUCAAGCUGAAAAACUAAUUCCUUUUAUAUGGUGUUACAGCUAUUCUCAGACACUGUUCCCAAGACUGCUGAGAACUUCCGGGCACUUUGUACUGGUAAAAUGUUCAUCAUAAUUGGUAUUCUUUUUGUCAUAAGUUUAUAAAACUGGAUGCUUUUUUAAAUUUCAGGAGAAAAAGGGAAUAGUCAGAAAACCGGGAAACCCCUACACUACAAAGGAUCCUUCUUUCAUCGCAUAAUCAAAGGAUCCAUGGCUCAGGUAUGUUUUCUAUCAAUUACUUUCAUAAAUUAUAUUGUUUUUUUUUUUUUGUUUUGUUAUUUUAUUUUCCACUUAGUUUCUUCUAGUUCUGGAUGUCUUGGUGGUGGUCUGUCUUUUUAGUCGGCUAUCCUUGUUUAAUCUGUAGGAUACAGGGUUGAUGGUUCCAACUGCUUUUCUUGUGAUGUAGUUUUUAAGGUUGUAAUUAUUUGGUUGUAUUUGUAAUAUCAUCACAUUCAUUCUGAAACAUAUCAUACAAAAUUUACAAAUCCAUCUUUCUGCAAUGAUUUCUGAAUAUAAUUUCUAUAAGUGAAUUAAUUCUUUGUAUUUUUUUUUUGCAGGGUGGGGAUUUUUAUAAACGUGAUGGUAUGUACAUUUUGCCACCAAUUUUUUUUAAUUUUUGUAUACAAAAUCCAUAUCUCAUUGGUUUACUUUUGCAGGAAGUUAUGGAGAAAGCAUAUAUGGAGGGAAGUUUCCAGGUGAGAAAAGUCACUAUGUUCAUUACUUGUGUUUUCUGUUUGAAUGUUGAUGAUCAUAAAUACAUAAUAUGUCUUUAGGUAGUUGAGGAUUUCAUUUAAUUUGUUUAAAAAGUGUAUGCAAAAGAAAUUGAAAUAAACCUUUUAGCUUCUAUCUCCCCAAAAUUUCUAUAUAUGUUUAUAUUUUGAGAGAAUGGGUUUCCUUUUUGAAUUGCCUGUGAAGGUGGGGGCUGACAUUGGUCUUAUUCUCGGUGCAUGGGAGCUCAACCCACAAUGAAAUGGGCAAAUUGUAAUUGUCUUGAAAAAUGGUGGGUGUAUGAAUAUUUUGUGUGCCUUUCUUUCUAGGUUUGAAAUCUUUGGUAAAAUACAAAGUAUUUGGUUUGGAUGAUUUAUGCAGCUAGUUAAGUCUAAUGUAUAAUGUAUGCUUUAUAUUUAUGCCCAAUACAUUGUCAUGAGUUUUUUUAUCUGGCUUUUUUUCCAUGUUAAGUUCCUGGCUACCUUAUUAUUAUUAUUUUGAAUUGGUUAUAAUCAAAAUUUGUUACAUUUCAGAUGAAUCCUCCAAACUGAAACAUGAUGCUCCUGGCCUUCUAACAAUGGCAAUUGCUGAUCGUGAUUCACGUGGCUCUUUAUUUAAUGUGACAUUUGGCGCUAAUCGCCACCUGGAUAGGUUUGCUCAUCUUUGUUGUUACAAUUUUAUGUUGGACAAAUUGAUAGAAAUAGCUACAUACCUUACUUUUGUUAUGGUUACAUAUUGCUAUUAUUGAUAAAAAAAAAGUGUUAAGUAUGUUGCUAUUACGGGUAAAAAAAUAAAUACACUGCAUGUAUUGGUAUUUCCUACAUGUUAUCUUUUUAUAUUUAUCUGAAAAGUUAGAGUUUUAGCAACAUUAACUGUCUAACUUUUGAUGGAAAAGGAAAUUUAAGUGUUGGAAAUGGAAUUUCUUGAACAGGAAGUAUGUUAUUUUUGGAAAGCUUGUUCAAGGACUUGAUGUAUUGAAGAAGAUAGAAAAUGUGGGUGAUGAAGAUGGAAUGCCAACUGUGACAGUGAAGAUCAUUUAUUGUGGGGAAGUAAACGAGAGUGAGAAUCAAAGCUCUGGUAUGGUGGAUAAUUAUUGCAUUUUUAAUGACAUAAUUGUUUGUUUAUUUUUUUAAAAUAAAGUCUCUGUUUUUGAUGUUUUUAUAGAUAAGAAGGCAGCCAGCAAGUUGAAAAGUGGGAAAGAUGUUUCUUCAGAGGUUCACAGCCAUGAAGUGAAGCGGAAGGGAAAGCACAAGAAAUCUUCAAAAGAUAAAAGGAAGAAAAGAAAAAGAUAUUCUUCAUCUGAUUCAGACAGUUCAUCUGACAUGGAAUCUGACUCAUCUGAUUCGGAUAGUGAUUCCGACUCUGAUGAUUCAUCCUCGUCAUCAUCUGAUGUCAGCUCUUCAAGUGAUGACAGGCGUAAGAGAAAAAAGAGAUCCAGAAAGGAUCGACACAAACGUGGAAAAAGAAAGGACAAAAAACGCGAGAAGAAGCGUAGGAGACGCGAUAAGAAAUCCAAACGUAAAUCAAAGAGGUUGGUAUGGUAUUUUAAUUUUAGUUAAACCUUAAAUAAAGUAAUGUUUUAUUCUUUAUAAAAGUUAUUAUAUAUCAUUUUGUAGGGUGUCUGGUAGCGGAAGUGAGAGUUCAAGUGAAAGCGAACAUGCGUCUGAGGACAAUAAUGGUGAUGUCAAAAAGCGAAACCGGAAACAUAAUAAUAGUAAUAAUAAAUCUCCUACAGCUGAAUUUGAAGAUGGUAAAACAGGAGAUGCAUUUGCAUUUGAUGGACAUGUAAAGGAGGAAGAAGGUGAAUACCCGAAAGAAAAUGGUGGGGACCGCCCAAGCAAUGGUGUUGACCUGGCGAAGGCUGAUAUAGUCGAUGACCAUCUCGGAAACUCUAGGUUCAAUCAAAUUUAAUAAAACUUUAUUAUUAUUAUUAUUAUUAAAUUCUUUCUAAUCUUAUUUUUUUUUUACUAAACAGAAGUAGAAGCAAAAGUCCUCCUCGAAGGGAAUUGAGCAAGAGUAUGAGUAUUAGCCCAAGGAGGAGUCAAAGUGUUAGUGGGACCCCUCCUAGACGGGCCCCAUCACGUAGCCCGGUCAGAAGCGAAAGCAGCAGCAAGAGUCCGGUUAGAAGCAUAAGCAGAAGUCCAGUGAGGGGCAAAAACGUCAGAAGCAUAACUCCCUCACCAUCACCUCCACGAAGGAGUGUUUCUAGAAGCCCACUGCGAACAUCGUCUAGAAAAUCCUCACGAAAAUCAGUAAGCAGAAGUCCGGUUAGAUCUUCCAGAAGAAGCUACAGCAGAAGCCCAGUCAGAUCAUCUAAAAGAAGCUUGAGCAGAAGCUCUGGUAGACCGCCUUUAAGAAGAAGCCCUAGCAGGAGUCCGGUCAGACCGCCUAUGAGGGGUGGUCGCCGGAGCUAUUCCAGGAGUCCGGUAGGUGGGCGUAGGGCGGCUAGGUCACCGGAGAGAAGCUUGUCUAGAAGCGCUUCACCUGAUGGCUCUCCCAAACGUAUCAGAAGAGGACGCGGUUUCAGUAACCGAUUUUCUUACGCACGCCGAUACCAUUCUCCCGAUCGCUCCCCGGUCAGAUCUUAUCGCUAUAGAAGUGACCGCGACCGUGACCGUGACCGGUAACAAACUAACAGCUAGCAAUUUUAAAUUAAGUUUUUUAAUAUAUUUAAUAUAAAAACAAUUAAACCAAUAUUUUGGUUUGUAGUUAUUCAAGCUAUAGAAGGCGCAGCCCACUGAGAGACAGAAGUCCACCAAGGUAUUUUGGAGUAAUAAUGGAAUCUUUUUUUUUGGUGAGAAAGUGAUUAUUUGAUUGUUAAAUUCAAUUAUUUACACAGGUACAGAGGGAGAAGAAGCAGGACACGGAGUCCGAGUGUGUCCCGGAGUCCUGUCCCUGUGCGGUACCGCCGGCGCUACAGUCGGAGCCGGUCGCCGGUGGAGACAUCAAGGUACAGGCCAUCACCGCCAGUGGAGAGGAGGAGGGCGCCACGCAGCAGGACCCCGCAUUCUCAAAGUAGGAGCCCGUAUGAACGUAGGUCCUCUCCAUCACCAUCUCCGAGAAGGAGCGUGAAGUCAAAGUCAAAGUCAAAAUCGCCAUCGAGAUCAAGGUCAAUGUCGAGGUCAAGAUCUAGGUCGUCUUCUGGAAGCCCACCUGGGAAGAAAGGACUGGUGUCGUAUGGAGAUGGUUCUCCAGACAGUCAGAAGUGAGAAGAGAAGAGAAAGAUCUUACUUUUGAGGGUGAAAUGAUUUAUAGACUUGGUAAUUGGUACACUAUGUAGGGUGGGUGUGUUUUGAAUAAUUUGACUAUUUCUCUUGUAUUUCUUUCUUCUUCUGUGGAGUGACUGUUGAGGUGCUGCUAGACUAGUAACGAUGAUUGGAUAUGUGUUUGUUUUUAAGAGGUUGGUUAGACUGAGGGGAAUGGGACCGAGUAUCAAUUAUGUUAUGUUUUAAAAAGCCUCUUCUGUUUUUAUCUUUAUUGUUAUGGUUUGCUCUUUGAUCAGUGCGACUUGAAGGUAGUUUGUGCAUUUAUAUAUGUAUUAACAUAAUCUUGUGUGCUUGAAUUGAUACAUUAUAUUAUAAUCUUUUCAAAGAAUAAGCUAACAAGUUAAAAGGAGGGUCAUCAAGAUGUAUUGAAUUAUUAAGUAGAUUGAGAGAAGAUUAUUUACCAUCUCUUUAAGACCGGUAAUAAUUGCGACAUAUGUAUUGUAUUUAGUUAUUUAUUAUUUAUUAACCGAUAAAAUUGGAAUAAGUUACCUAAAAUUUAGGGGAAAAUAUGAUUAAUUACGUAAGUUCAGGGGGUAUUUUGGUUUACGGCAACAGCAGGCGACGUGUAGAAGAAGAAUCUCGGGAACCCUAGCAGAGGUUUGUUUCUCAAUCCUACGCCGCUACGACCAUUGCCGCUUUCUCCACUCCACGAUGAUAACAAAGAAACAUCCGUCGCCGUUUCUCAAUCCAACGGUAAUAUGAUUUACUUGUUCGUUAUUAUUUGAAUCUAUUAAACACAAGAUAUAAGCCGAAGCAUUUUGAUUGAAAUAAGACAGUAACCAAUAAAUACUAAAAGCCAAUCUCUUUUCUGUAGCUUGGUAACAUUUGUAUUACUAAUAAAUGAUGAAUGUAUUAUUGAUUGUACUUGGGUUUUUGAUUGACAGGGUAACAUUAAUGAUAUUGAUCGUAAUGUUCUAUGCAAUGUGUUACACAUCAAACAAUGCUCCAAAGCCUCCCAAUAUAUGGUGAAGUUUACAAAGCAAAGGCAUUGGAAUCAUCAAACAAGUAUGUCUCUACCUUUUAUAAGCUUCUUCAUUUUCAGUAACAUUAUAGGAAUUAGACACUCUUUCUUUGUCACCACUGCAUUUGUGAUGGCAUUGGCAGCUGGUAAGCUUUGGGACACCAUUUCUGAAUGCAUCUCCCAAAUUCAAUCUGAUUGUGAUGAUGAAGCUAAAGAGAGGGCACUUCAAACCCUAGUUUCCAUCACAAAAGCAAGCCCUCCACACAGAAAUUUAGUCAUGCAGAAUCAGGAAGCCAUCCCCGCUCUCCUCUCCCUGCUCAAAUCCUCCUCCCGUGCUCUUGAAAGACUCUCACUUUCCAUCCUCUUCAACCUCUCAUUAAACCCUAAUCUCAAAUCCACCCUUGCUGACAUGGCAACCAUUCAACACCUCAAUACUGUGAUCCUGUCUCGUGGGUCACUCGAGUCUAGCAAACUAGCAGCUUCUUUGAUAUGCAGCCUGGCAAUGCUAGACAAGAAUAAAGCAGUGUUUGGGGUAGCGAAUACUAUUCAAGCAUUGUUGAAGGGAGUUUCAAGGCCUAAUAGUCCUGUGACACAUCACCUUCUCAGCUCACUUGCUGAGUUGGUGCACUUCCAUGGGAAUUGCACAUUGGCUGUUAGAUCAGGUGCAGUUGGUGUUCUCCUGAGAAUAGUUGAGAACAAAGACAGUGAAGAUCUUUGUGGGACUGCUCUUAGUAUUCUUGGGCUUCUUGCUAAGUUUGAUGAAGGGCUAAAAGCUUUGACAAAUACACCUAGUAUUGUGAGUAGAAUGCUUGAUGUGUUGAAAGGUAGGUCCAUGUUGAAUAAUGAAGGUGCAGCCGAGGUACUUCUUCGUGUUUUUGAUGAGAGUGAAGAAUGCUUGAGAGAUGCUAUCGGAUUGCCUGAUUUCAUGUAUACAUUAGCUGAGCUCUCGGUGAGAGGAUCAACGAGAGCUCGGGAGAAAGCUUCUCUACUGUUGAGAAAACUUGAGGCUAAUGAAUCAUAUGUAGAUGAUGAUCUGGUGUUCUUGAAAUGGUAAGGUAGGAUGCGUGUCUUAAGAAAAGUAACAUAAUAAGAGCUUUUGUUUGUUUUGUAGCACAUGAGUGUGCACAUUAUUAGGUCCUCUUUGAAGGUUUAGGUAAUGAAUAGAUGGGUUUGGUGUUAAAAAAGGCAUGGAGUUUAUAGGAUUGAAGCCAUGACUCACAAAACUACGAACUACAUAAAAAAUGAAUUUGAGAGUUACAUAAAGCCAUAAAGUUAAAUUUAUAAAGAAAGCAUAACUAUCUUGCAUCCAAAUACAACAACAACAACAAAUAAACCCAAAUCCCAUAAAGUCUUGUGAGGUAAGUGGGAGGUUUGAUGUAGGUGGUCUUAGUGUCUUGCCUCCACCCGUGGGUAGAGAGGCUACCUCUAUAGGAGACUUUCGCCAUGAUCAAGGAUGCACCAUACAUGAGCAAAUAAAAGCAAUAUACAAUUAAAUAUACUAAUACUAGAAAUAGUACUAAUUGUAAAAAUGAAAUAACAUAAGACGAUAAAUACUUAAAUGCCUAAAUGAUAAUACAAGAAACAAAACUUAUGCUACUACACUAACCUAAUUCUCCGUCUCCACUCCUACCUAUGUGAGGUCUGUAGAAGGUGCCAACUCCUUCGUGUCUAACCUCACACUAUAGUUACGUUGCGUCCUCGGUCGACCUCUCCUCUUCGCCUUACCGUAGAUGUGACGCCUCGAUCCAUUGAGUACCGUCAUCUAUCCUUAGUACACUUUAUUUUAAAUACAACUAAGAUAAUACCUUAGAUUUCAUCUUCAUCAUGGUUUAACAAAAUUACAUAAGCAAAAGUGCAUAAAAGAAAAACUAUUUUAACCGUUUAUAAUUCAUCCAAAAUUUCUGUUAAAACACUAACUACUUGUGGUCCUUCUUCUUUCCUGAGAUACAUACAUGAAUACAUAAGCUUUAAGUUUAGUGAGUAUUUUGGUUUUAAUAUUUAGCAUAAACAUUUGAUGGAAAAAUAACAAUUAAAUGCUUGAAAACAUUAAUUUGAGAUCUUAUAGCUACAUGUAAGUAGGCCCAACUUCUGGGAGGUUUGCUAACCUUGGGAUUCAUAUAAGGCUGUCCCAUAAGGUCCGUUUUUAAGACGUCCCUUCAUCCCAUACCCAAUGCGUUGGGUUACUUGGGUAUUUAAAUGACCGUACUUAACAUGAAUAAAACUUUCAUGCUAACUUCAUAAUAUGUUGUUAAAUGUCUUUGAAAAAUCAUUUGAGCAAGUGAACAUGGCAAAUAAUUUAAAUGCAUUGAACAUAUACGUAGCAUGUAUGUAUCCCAUUAAAUCACAUAAAUAUACUCACCUUUCUUUGAGCUUUUAGGCUUCUUUUUAAUCUUUUAAGUCACCACCAAGCUUGAUAGUGUAUUCUAGGAUGAAAAAAAAUGCUUAACUUCACUUGCUAUGUCUAGUAAAAUUGUGUGCAUUGCUUGCUUGUUCUUUAGGCCUAAAACAUAGUACAUUGUUGAUGAGAUGAUUACACCUAGUGUACUUGUUGUACCUCAUCUCCUUAGAAGCUUACACCUCAAGCCUCUAGCUCUUCUAUGUCAUCUUCCAGCUUAGCUUAAUCUCCUUAGAAGCUUACACCUCAAGCCUCUAGCUCUUCCAUGCCAUCUUCUAGCUUAGCUUAAUCACUCAAAAUCUAGGCAACGCUUAUCUCUACUUGUAUAUGCUAGCUUGGUUACUACUUUUAGCCUUGAUUUGUCAUGCUAAGCUUUGGUUUACUUGUAGCUGGUGUUGUGGUACUUGUAAGCAUAUGGUAAGCUACUUGUGUGCUUGCUUAUUUUCAACUUUUCUUUUUACAUAAAAUUUGCAACAUUCUUCUAUAACAACUAUUCUUAAAGUGUCCCUUAUGUUCUUUUAUAUUACAAGGGUGUUAUGGUAGAUGAUUGCCUCCUCUUGACAUAUCUAAACCACUAAAAUCUUUCUUUCCUCGAAUUUUCGGUGGUUCACGCAACUCCUAACUUAUUUAUGAUUAUAGCAUUCAGUAUUUUCUCCAACAUUGUUGUAAAGCAUAAACACUGAAGGAUCCUCAUUUCAGAAAUUUCCAUCUUCCUCUCAUGCUCUUUUUUUUCCGGCUAACAUUUGAAGCAACUACCACCUUGUAUCUUGCAUCCAAAUGAUGCCAAUGGUUGUUUUAAAACAAUUUUGGCUAAGGGUGUAGACUAGACAAAGCAAAGUAGAAGGAGAAACGAGGUUUAUUGGGUAGGGUUUAACAUGGACUAGGCUUAUAUAGACCACACUUUUAUCAUGUUAGAUAGUAGAUAGUUUUUUAUAAUGAUUUCUUAUGCAUCUUUAGCGUGGUCGUACAAUUAUGAAUAUUUAUAAUAGUUGGAUAAAUUUAUAAAAUAUGAAAGUGUUGUGGCAAAAUCUAGAGAUUUGAAACAUGUGAACCUACAUGUUUUAGACAUGACACUUUAGUGUCUUGUUUAGGGACCUAUUCCGUGUAAAUGCAUGUAAUUAUCACAUGAAGCUUGCAAAUUGAACUUAUUUUACUAAAUAUUAGGUGUAGACUACCAGGAAAGAAAUUUAAAGCCCAAAUUUGCUUGCCUUUUCUUUCAUUUCCUUUAUCGUGAGUUCGUGACCUUUCCCCUUUAUUGUGCCCUCGACAAUCGACAUAGGACAUCGCCGAGUGGUGCGUUUGCUAUCGUAUCUUUCGAUUGCACCUCAACUACACCUAAAACAACAAGAAUUUGUUUAUCGCAUUGAUAUUAAGGUAUCUUUUUCGAAUACUUAACCUUUAGAUCUAGUUUGAUCCCAAAUCGAUUAUUCCAAAAUUUUACUUGUAAUGCUUUAGUUAGGUAAAUUAUUUUGCAACCGGAAAGAAUUGGCUAGGGUUGUUUGGAAUAAAUGUUUGUGUGCUUCCGAUUACGCUAUCAAUAUUUCUUUACAUUUUUGUUAAUAGGAUUAAUGUCAAUGAACUUAACUUGUAUAUGGAAUGUCAUAAUUAUGAUUUCCAUUCCAUGAUAAACAAUGUUAGGGCCUUAUUAAUGAGAUAAUUCUUUAAUUAAGGUAGUUAUUUAAUUACUUAGAAGCAGUGAUGAUAGUUUGUUAAGCUUUGGUGUCAUGGAUGGUGUCACUUAGAUCAUGAGAGAGAUAGAGAGAAGGGAAGGGGGGGGGGGGGAUCUUAUGGGCCAUCAUUUGUACCCAUCUAGUAGAAUGACGAGAGAGUCGAGUUCCAUAGGUCUUGGAUAUUUCUUCCAUUUCAUAGUGGAUGAUAGUGGGUAUCUUACUAUGAUUUCCUUCUUUGUAUCUCCAAAUUAGCAAAGGGUUUAAAGGCAUUUAGCUACAACUCAUUGCCUUAUUGUGGUUGUAAAUAAUAUGUCCAUCUUUUUGCACAUGUUAUGCUUUUUUCGUAAUCUAGUGGGAAAUUGUGUUAGAUCUUUUGAUAUCCUCGUUUAUAUAGAGGGACACGUUUGAGAACAUGAACCAUAAAUUUUGGAUAUAAUGAUAUUAACUAUGUUGAGACAUCUUUUUGGUUUUAAGAUGAAUUUUGGUUUUACUCCCACCAUUAUCCCAUUUUCUUUGGUUUUUCCUCUCAUUUUUGGACCAUUGACUCUAGUCGUAGUCAAAUCUCAUCUUUACCAUUUUAUAUGGACCUUGUUGCUCAAACCUCAUCUUUAAUAUCGCUAUGCGGCGGUGUUUGGGAUUGCUUUUCAAAACAACCUAUUGACUUAUUGGCUUUUUGAAAAGCCAAUAAGUCAAAAAUAAUGUUUGGCAAACUCAAAAGCAUUUUUCAAAAUAACUUUUCCAUUAGCUUCAAAAAGGAGAUUUCAAAAAGCAGGUAAAACUUGGCUUUUUGAAACUCCUUUUAGCUUUUUAAUCAUAAUAGCUUCAAAAAAGAGAUUUUAAGCCUAACAUUUUUUUUAAACUUAUUGCCUUAUUGGAUUUUGCCAUCUCAAAAGCUAAUCCAAACACUUUUUUAAGUCAAUAAGCACUUUUUCCCAACAACACUUUUGGAAUUCAAAAAGCAGUCCCAAACACCCCCUUGUUCCAACCAUGUGUUGUCAAUGCACCAAGAUCUUCAGUUUUGAUCUGAGCCUUGGCCUACAUUAGUGCUGGCUUUGACUAUUAAGUUCUACCUGAGUUGGGUGUCACUAGCAUUUUCUCAAGAGAUUACUUGAUCUUUCAUUAUUCUACCUUGGUGUCUUUUAGCAGAGCAUCAGAGUUUUCUCUAUUGAGUCAAGAAAUUCUAAACCUUUUAUAUUGCUGGUCGCCUAUAGAUGUUUUUUCCAAUCCAUGACUUGUAAACUACGGCGUUCUCUGUUCUUAUAGAUUUGGUCCUUGAAUUUUAUGCAAGAAAUAUUUUAUAAUGCUUAUUUAAAAAAGAAAAAACUAAUGUAAUGCAAUGUUUAGAAGAGGAAGAAUGAGCAUGGUGGGAGAUUGGAUUUGUGGGUCAUGCAAUCACUUAAACUUUUACUGGAGAGAAUCAUGCAGGAGAUGCAAAGAGCCACGAUCCCAAGACAUGAAUGCAGCUGUGAGUGCGGGCCCCAGGGUGUUUGCUUUUAGGCCCGGGGAUUGGUUCUGUGAUGUUGGGAUUUGUCAGGCUCACAACUUUGCAAGCCGAAGAUUCUGUUUCAAAUGUGGUGUAAUUAAAAGCAUACCAUCUUUUGGUCCUACUGUAGGACUAGGAUACUACCCUACCCUUCCCCUUCCCCCUCCCCCUCCUCCUUUCUUGAGUUUCAGUUUCAUGAAUCCCAGAAUCAGCCAACGAGGCUGGAAGCCUGGCGACUGGUUUUGUGGCAGGGGGUUUUUUUUUUAAUUUUUUUUUUUUUUUUUUUUUUUUUAUUUUAAAUAUUUUUUUUUUUUUUAAAUAUANUUUAUCUUUUUUCAUAUUUUUUUUUUUUUUUUUUUUUUUAAUUAAGGUCAUAAUCAUUAUUCAUUAAUACUAGUUGAUUCUCAUUCAUAUAAUCAUAUGAUAUGAUAUAGGCCUGGCUGUAAUGCACACAACUACGCUUCCCGAAUGAUAUGUUUCAAGUGCAAGUCUUCUAGGGAAUUGGUUACCAAUGUUUCUAAUUGAUUCCUUCCUUGCAUUCCGAAUUCUGGUAAAGAUUUUUGUUUUUUUUUUUCUUAUGAAUGUGUGUGUAAUUUAUGUCAUGUUUUUCAGGUCCUAUGGUUAUGCUAUCACCUCUGUUAGGAGAGAGGGAGAGUCAGAGUUGUUGUUUUUUCGUUCAGAUCUUGUUAUAUCUUAUGUGUUUCUUUUUAUUUCUGUUGGUUGCAUUGCAAUGGAGUUUGAAUCUGGUAUGAAGUUUACAUGAAUUAAUGAAGGAUGUAAUUAUAAGUGGUUUCUUCAGUUUGAAUGUGAUGAUUAUGGAUGGAUGGAUGGAGUUAUAAGAUUUUUGUGGCAAUUUGGUUGGAUCAUAUGUGUAGUUGUAAGAAAAGUUCAUUCAACUGGGUUGUUGAGUUUCAUACACAUUCAUUUGCAAAUGGUAAUUUGACAAGGAUUUUUUUUAAUAUAGCUGAUUUUGGAAAUUUUGGUCUUCAAAUGAUUUUUUUGUUUUUUGUUUUUGUUUGUUUGUUUGUUUUUUUUUUUUUUUUUUUUUUUUUUUUUUUUUUUUUUUUUUGUUUGUUUGUUUGUAAUGGUCUAUGUUCCAAAUAAAAUGACUUUUUUUUUUGUUUCCUAAGUUAUACCUGAUUUUUGCAGUUUUAUCACAAAAAUAGUCAUUUUCUUGGUACGAGGACCAAAAUCAUUAAAAAGAGGAUCAAAAUUGCAAAAAAAAAACUCACCUCAAAAUUGCAAAAGAAAACUCACAGACCAAAAUUACAAUUCAAAAUUACAAAAAGAGGACAUACUACCUAAUUCAUUGAUGAUUAAAGUGGGACAUUGUUUAGUCGUAUUCAAUAAUAUAUAGAAGUAGGAUCGGGUGAUGACUUGAAAAAUAGUGAGGAUUGCGAUGACAAAUCUUGGAUGUUUGUUGGUUUAAAUGGGUGGUUGAGAUAAAUCAAAAUUAAUAAAUAAACAAAAAAAAAAUCGUCCAAUGACAUUUUUGUAAAUAAAAUCAAGUUAGGAUCACUUUCCAAUUAAAGGGCAAUGUCUGGGGGUCAUAACUGUCAAAGGAAAUAAUAAAAUUUUGUUGCUGAAAUGAACUCCACGCACAAAAGGUGCGUCGCCAACUCUAUGGAUCUUACUCUUGAACACGUUUCGCCACCAGGUUUACUUGGGUUUAUUUAUUUAUUUUUAUUUUUCAUGGAUCUUACUCUCGUAUGAACUUGUAUAAGUAGUCCCCGGAAAUGUAUUGACCUGAACUUCAUGAAUAUGGCUUCGUAAUCUGGUUUGGAUGGGUUCUAACGGGAAAAAAACAGGUCUUGAACAAGCUGUUGUUUCGAGUUAAAAUCUGAAAAUUUAACCUAGUUGUUUAAUUAUAUGUUUAAGGUGAAUAUCCCUAUUUAAUCUUGAUUGUUAUUCUUAGGAGUUUUGAAAGGUGACCGGGUGCGAAUGGGUUCUGGUUUCAGUUGGAGGUUUACUCUACUACUUGAGGUGAGUUUCUCACUACACUGUGUAAUGUUGUGCAUUCUUUGCUUUAGCUCGUGUGUGUUAUAGUAUGUUUAUACGGGUAACACUAGAUUGGGUUAGUAUCUAGUGGGAGUAUGUUAUUUGUUCAUGUAUUGAAGAAUAUGUAUAGAAGGGAUCGACGUAUCCGAGCAGAGGAUCGGGCAUAGCCAGUGUGUCCCAAGGGGUCGACGAAUUGAGCAAGGGGGAUCGGGCAUGACCAAUGUGUCCCAAUGGGUUCGGGUGAUCGGGCUUAUCCAAUGUGCCCCAAUGGCUCGAUGUAUCGAGCAAAGGGGAUCAGACAUAACUAAUGUGUCCUAGUAGGUGUAUGUUGUUAUUGAUUCGCUCUUUGACAUGCAUACGUGUUUGUGUGGUUGAUAUUGUUGUUAUAUGUGUAUUAAGGGUAGAGCUUGUAUGAUAUAGACAUAUAGUAUUGUGUAUGUGUGAAAUCCCCUAAGCUUUGUGCUAUUCCCUUUUCCCUUAAAAAAAUACCAUUUCAGGAUUAACAUGUACUUAGGAUGGCAGGGUGUGAUAGUACACACCGGCUCAGUACGGAUUGAUGAAGUUUUCAUAUUACCUUGGAUUAUGUUUCUUUGAUUUUGGAAUUUAUAAUUAACAAAUGGUUUUUGAAAUUUAUUGAUCUUGGGAUUAUGGUUUUAAAACUUAUUUUGAAAAAAAGUCAUGGUUUUGAAUAUACUUAUAUUGUUUUUAGAAGUUCAAAUUUAUUGUAAAUUUUAGGAUGUUACACAAUUGUAUUGGAUUGAGUGCGAAAUUUGAAAAUCCAAUUGGAUUACUUGAAGGCAAUGUUACUUUGUUAGUCUUAUUUAGCAUAAUUGUGUGCGGUUUUAUUUUUAGUUAUCGUAGUUAUAUUUGGUUAUUCGAUAGAAAGAGAUUAGAAUUGGUUGGAUAAUGGAUAACUACUGAAUUAAACCAAUAAAAAAAUAUCCAAUAGAUAGAAUCGAUCUAAUCCAACAUCCAAUUGGAUCGAUUUGGUUUGAUUUUUUUAUGAUGAAUUGGAUUGGACCGGUUGACAAAUCCAACAUCUAAUGGAUGAUUAGAUUGGAUUGGUUCCAUCGAAAUCCAUUGGAUUUGAACCGCUGAUCACCCAUAAUUUGGUUAUUAUGUUUUUUUCAAUCAGCUGCUGGAACAUGAUGGUUCUAAAAACAUUUUGCAAAAAGGUAAGAAUCAGCCAUAAAGUCACAUUACCUUUCAUUGUUGAUGGUUGUGGAAUGUGAACUACUUUUUAUUAAAUUAUAAAUUAUCUAAGGAUGAAACUGCAUUUCCUUUCUUCAUAUCACUAUAACACAUUACAUUAUUUUUGUAUGUUUUUAUAACAUCAAAUCUUUGUUGUGAAACAAGGUUUAUUAUUAACAUGAGUUGGUUUGAGCUUUAACAAAAUUUUAAGAUAAUUAACUAUUUCAUACAAAUGAUUGUUCCAUGGAUUAUAUCAUUAUUAUUAUUAUUAUUAUUAUUAUUAUUAUCAUUAUAAAUCUUAUAAUAGAAGUCACUUGUGACAUAUAUCCUUAUUAUUAUCAUUAUCAUCAUUAUAAAUCUUAUAAUAGAAGUCACUUAUGACGCGGUUCAAGAUAACUCCCUAUAUUGAAGUGCAAAUAAUAAAGAUACGAAUGAUGGAUGUUACGUAAUAAGAUUAUAAUUUGAAAUAGUAUGCUAGAAAGUAACAUGACAAACAAAUCCUGAAACCGUAAACAACAAACAUACAAAAGCCAGUUUGGUAUCAAGAACAAGGUUGGACCGAAACCGUAAACAACAAACAUACAAAAGCCAGUUUGGUCCAAAACCCGAAACCCGAUUUAGUACCCGGAACUGGACCGGACCGAACCCCGACCCGCUACACCUAAAAACGGUCCAGUUCUCGGGUAAGGUAAUUCAUGGUUUUCGGUCUUCAGGCUGGUCCGGUUCGGGUUCUGCUCGUUGCUCUAUAUUGAACCAUAUUAAUUUGAAACUACGAAAACUCUUCGGCUUAUAUUUUAAGUUUCUAUUUGGUGUGUUAGCUGAAAAAACUAGUUUUUAACUUAUAAGCUAGUUUAUCCAUAAACUAUCUCGGAUAACUUAGACAAAACUGCAAAAUUGGUCCUUGUGGUAUGCAUUUUUUCUGAGGUUUAAUCCAAACCUCGAUUUUUUUGGAUUGGUGGUCCUUUUUGGUCCCUUGAAAAAUUGAAAAGACUAAAAUGCCCUUCUGAACAGUUUAUAUGUUAUUUUCUAUUUAAUUUAAAAUUAUAUUAAUUAAAAAUAUAGGGCCCACCUCUUUCUUUCUUUCUUUCUUUCUCUCUCUCUCUCUCUCUCUCUCUAUAUAUAUAUAUAGCCAUUUGGGUUUGUCUUUGACAAACAUCUAAUAACAUCUUCAUAAAUUCAAGAACACUCAAGAACAUCUUAUGCCAUCACCACCAUUCGACCACCGUCCUCCACCACCACUGUCUGCCACCUCCAUCUCCACCUGAACUUUUUAUACCACUUUAUAUCCGCCUAAAAUCAUCCCAAAAACAAAAAUCAUACACAAAAUAUGGGUUUGUUCUUGAGUUUCCCCUUAAAAAUAAUCACUAGAUCUGAUGCCUCAUCAAGAGCUCAUGAACACACACACCCACCCACAUUCAAGAACACAUUCAUGAACCCCAUAUCUGAUGAGCACACAAACACAAACACACAUUAUAUCAGAUCUGAUGAAGGGUUUUUGGAUGAACACAUUCAAGAACAAAUUUUUGAACCCUAGAUAUAAGGAACACACGAACAAAAUCAGAUCGAGUUCAUGGGUUCUCGGGUUCUUCAUCCAAAAAACAAAGAUCUAAAACCAAAACGAACAUUUGACCCCUCAGUGGCAGAUUUCUUCGUCCCCAUCUUCCAAAAACCCAUAUUGUAUGUGUGUAUUUUGUGACAUCCCCGAUUUCACGGCCACAAAAGACCGAUUUGAUUAUGAUUAUUUAAAUCAGAAUAUUCUUUUCAAAAGAGUAAUAAUGUGGAAUUUGUUCCAAAAAAUAUGACAAUAUCAUUAUUAAAGCAUUUCCGAGGAAAUGUAUUUCAUUUAUAUUUAAAAACCUUGGGAUGUCAUGGUCAAUACAACAACAUAAGCAUAAAACGUAAUAUUACAGGCCUUACAAUAGUUUAUUAUUCUAUUGGCCUAUUCUCCUUUAAAUCUCACUCCAAAUUUAAACUCAUCACACCUAUGCUCUUACGCUGCUACCUGUGAAACAAAGAAACUGAGUGGGUUAGGCUUCGGAAAGCCUGAUGAGCACAUAGGGUUUUCAACCCACAAUAAUUAAAUUUAUUAAUUUCAUCAAUCAAUCAACUCGGUUAUCCGUUCCCGUUAUCCUCACUUUUUGUCCCUAAAACAUCUAAAUUAAGGGACUUAGCCUAAGGAUUUUUCAUCGGGGUGACAGCACUGCAUAGGGGAUUCCUCAACAAUAUAUGUUAAAAGGCAACCAUAGGGGAAUGGAGUACAUCUGGUGAACAUUUAGUUCAAAAACACCUACAUGUUUCGAGCCUACCACCGUUCCACUAGACUGUCUAGAAUAGUUUGUGGUCGUCAUCUAUACUCCGCUAGAUGACUGGAUCAUCUUAAACACUCUAGGCCUAUCAUUAUUUAUUUUAUCAUCUAUAUCAUCUACCCAUCUUUACCCUUUAUAUUUAUAGGUACAAAAUACAUACAUAGUUUAAAUCGAAUAAAACAUGUAUAUUUUGUUCAUCCAACAUACAUAUCAAGAACACAGAUAAUAUACACACAUAACACGUAAUUUUUAUUAAAUACUUCAUAUUUAUGUAUAAGAUGAAAAUAACUAUGCACUCACUUGACUAGUUAGUGGUUACUAACUAUGUUCUUAAUCGUCGUUAUAUCACACUUUCUUUAUUUAUGACUCCUUGCUCGAAAAUUCUGAACUCUAAUUUCAAAAUUUCUGGCCCUUCUUUAUAUCGAGUAUAUCUUUGGCUAUUAUUGUUUUCUAUCAUAAGAAUUGCUCAAAGGAUACCUCUAUUUAUAUAAAGGAUUUUUGAAUCGCCCGUACAAUAUCAAAAGAUUAGUCACCCAAAAAAAUUACACGUAUAACUUCAAUAAAUUAGAUGUGUACGAACAUACUUGAAAGGUUAACACAUAUUCUUCUGAUAUUGACUCUAAAUUAGAAGGUGUAUUAUUACUUCUCUUUUGUCAACACAUAUCAUUUUAAUUAAUAAAAUAUGUACGACAUGUAUUAUAUUUCUUACAGGUAUGUUGGUUUGCAAUUUACAAAUCAAUUAUAGUUACAUUUAUGGUCCAUAAGUUAUUAUUGUAUUAACACAAUAUAUCAUUCAAGUUACACUGUAGUCCCUCAGCUGCAUGGAGCCCCUAAUAAGAAUAAAGAACAAGUAAGAGACGAUCACCCACUUAUUUGUUUGGAUCGGUCCGAUCCAAUCAAAUUAAGUAAAUUCAACUUAAUUCCGGUUUACAAAACAUUGAUUCAAAUAGUUCAAACUAAAUUCAAAUUCGGUAUGAAUUAAUCAAAUUACAAUUCGAUUUUCAAGAGUCGGAAUGUUUUAAAAUAGUUAUAAUUUGAAUAUUAGCUGACUUUAUAAAAGAAAUAUAAUCAAAUGGUUAGUUGUAAAUUAAAAUUUAUAAACUGUUAAGGAAAAUAUAUUUUGAUUCAUUAGAUAAAAAAAUCUUGAAAAAAAAAUACAUAUUAAGGUUUUUAUUAGGAGAGUGUUUCUAACCUAUUUAAAAAACAAUUCAGUAAAUUAAUAAAUAAUUAAAAGUAUAUAUUAAAAAUUAAAAUAUAUAUAUCUAUUCUAAUAAAUGAAAGUGUUUUUUGUCACAUGUUACACUCUCACUCAAUUUAUCAAAUGUCAUUUUGUGGUUAUUUUGAAUUAAUUUAUUUUUCCAAAUGUCAUGUUAUGUUUUUUUUUUUAUUUUAAUAAAGUUCACAUAAUAUUUAAAUGUAAUAAUUACAAUAAAUUUAGUAAUAAAUAAAUAUAAAUUUCAUUAAUGGAUAAAAAAAUCAAUUUUAAAAGAUAAAAAAAAUCAAUUUUUAUAAUUCAUUAUUUUUUUUUUAUAAAUUCAAAGUUCUUAAAUAUUUAGACAUUUAUAAUUAAUUUUUUUGAUUAACUCAUAUAAUCCAUGAGUCUUAUAGUUUACAAAAUAUUUAUCAAAUAAAGAUAUACUUGCAUGCUGUAAGAUAAUUUUUUUUACUAAUUUACCACCCCGGCCUUUCUAACAAUAAUUUGUAUUAUAUAAAAGACAAUGUUUUCUAAAUAAAUAAAAGAUAUUAGUUUAUUUUAUAUAUAGACAACCACAUAUCAUUUCCAUAUAUAACAUGAUGGUUGUUCAGAUCCGUGAUUAUUUAAUUUAAACUAUUAAAUAUGUAUUUUAUGAGUCGGUGAUUUCUAACACUAUUAAAAAAAGGGACAUUGUAACGAAACUAAAAGGCCGAGUUUCCUGUAAGCAGCUGACUGAAGCCAGACAGUCAAGCCAAGCUGAUUCUCCCCGCUCUCGACCAAAAUCUAUUACUAUUUUCAUCAUCACCGACACCCUCCCCCUCUCUUUUCUUAACAAAUCAAUACAAAUGAUUAAUAUGCAGUAAUCAUCGAAAGUGAGAUCAAGAAUGGGCCCUUUUCUUCUCACGCCAAUGCCCAUCAAACUUCAUUGAUUAUCAAGUUCCUUCAAAUUCAAAUCAAGAACGAAAAAAUCAAUUUCUAUCAUCUGGGGCUCUUCUUUAGUCCCCUGUUUCUACUUUAAUUGGAAUACAUGGAGGCAAAUGCAGGAUUAGUUGCCGGAUCUCAUAAGAGGAACGAGUUGGUGAGAAUAAGACAUGAUUCCGAUGGAGGGGUAUGUGUUCUUUCGAUUUUUCUUGAAUACCCUUUUGGAUUUUGAGUGUUCAGAAAUCAAUUUUAUCGACUCUUGUAUAGAUCUAAGUGAUUUAACAGUAGGCUAUUUUGUUUAACCCAAGUUUGUUUAUUUUGUUUGGAUCUGAGUGAUCAGUGUGACCAGUGAGCUCAGUAAUGAGUGAUGAUACGACUUUUGACUUAUUAAUCCUACCUUUUUGUUAAAUCUUCAAAGAGGGUUUUUUGUUAAAUUUGUGGAUUUAGAUCUGAAUCAUCGAGAUGAAAGUUUCUGUUUUCAGCGCCCAUCUUGAUUAAUUUGACAAAAUUUUCAGCUUUAGCACAUGAUGAUUUCUUAAAUUAUUUAAUUUUGAUUGUGACGUUGAGUGUUGAUGAUGCAGCCGAAGCCUUUAAAGAAUAUGAAUGGACAGAUAUGUCAAAUCUGUGGCGACACCGUCGGCCUGACUGAAAACGGCGACGUUUUUGUUGCUUGCAACGAGUGCGCAUUCCCGGUUUGUAGACCCUGCUACGAGUACGAAAGAAGAGACGGAAAUCAAGCAUGCCCUCAAUGCAAAACUCGAUACAAAAGACACAAAGGUUAGUUUUUGAGUUUUUGUUCGUAUCAAGAACACAUCAAACAUAUGAUUUUUGUAAGAAUUAAAGAGAGAUACAAAUGUUUUUAGGGAGUCCCCGAGUUGACGGUGAUGAUGACGAGGACGAUGUUGAUGACCUGGAAAACGAGUUUGAUUAUGCACAAGGGAGACGACAAUGGCAAGGAGAAGAUCCGGAUCUUUCUUCAUCUUCUAGAAGACAUGAAUCACAGCAACCAGUUCCCCUUCUCACUAAUGGCCAACAAGUAAGAAAAUUACUUAUAUACCCUUUUGUUCUAAGCAUUACCUUUUUAACUAAAUUCAGAGUGUUAUUUUCAGGUAUCUGGUGAAAUCCCAAUUGCCACACCGGACAAUCUAUCUGUAAGAAGUACAUCGGGUCCAUUAGGCCCUGGUGACAAGCCUGUCCGCUAUAUGGAUCCAAGACAACCAGGUUACUUUCUUUUUUUUUUUUUUUUUUUUUAAAAAAAAAGUAUUAUUAUUAAUCAGAUAAUGUUGUAGUAAUUAUGCUAAUGAUGCCCUUUUAAUAAAUAGUUCCUGUAAGAAUUGUGGACCCAUCAAAGGAUUUAAAUUCAUAUGGGCUUGGGAAUGUGGACUGGAAGGAAAGGGUAGAAGGCUGGAAACUAAAACAAGACAAAAACAUAAUGCAAAUGGCAAACAGAUACAAUGGCGGUGAAGGGAGAGGAGGUGAGAUUGAAGGCACGGGAUCAAAUGGAGAAGAAUUGCAACUGUAAGUAGUAAACUAAAGGGUACUUUAGGAAUAUCAUAUUUGUCGACUUAUGAUUUGACUUUUUUUUUUUUUUUUUUUUUUUUUUUUUUUUANUUUGUUUUGUUUUUUUUUUUUUUUUUUUUUUUUUUUUUUUUUUUUUUUUUAAAUAUAUAUAGGGUUGAUGAUCCAAGACAAUUAAUGAGCCGUGUGGUGCCUAUUUCAUCUUCUCAUUUGACUCCAUAUCGAGUUGUGAUUAUAUUGCGAUUGAUUAUUUUGGGAUUUUUCUUGCAAUAUCGGUUGACUCAUCCUGUUAAUGAUGCGUAUCCUUUGUGGCUUGUAUCUGUUAUUUGUGAGGUGUGGUUUGCUUUUUCUUGGCUUCUUGAUCAAUUUCCAAAAUGGUCCCCCGUUGAACGUGAGACCUUCCUUGAUCGCCUUGCAUUGAGGUAAGUAAGUAAUGGGAUUUAGAUUUUGGGCUAAUUGCAAGAAAUAGCAAUGUACUUUCAUUUGUAGUCAUCAUCAUGGGCAAUUAGGUAAUUUUAGCUUAAACAAUGAAAAUUUGUUGUUUUGUAGGUUUGAUAGGGAAGGAGAGCCUUCACAAUUGGCACCUAUAGAUGUCUUUGUGAGUACAGUGGAUCCAUUAAAAGAGCCUCCUCUCAUCACUGCAAACACAGUGUUGUCUAUUCUUGCUGUGGAGUAUCCUGUUGACAAAGUCUCCUGCUAUGUAUCUGAUGAUGGAUCUGCUAUGCUUACAUUUGAGUCUCUUUCUGAGACAGCAGAGUUUGCAAAAAAGUGGGUCCCAUUCUGCAAGAAGCAUAGCAUCGAGCCCAGAGCCCCUGAGUUUUAUUUUGCUCAAAAGAUAGAUUACUUGAAGGACAAGAUCCAGCCUUCUUUCGUCAAAGAACGUAGAGCAAUGAAGGUGAGUUUUACCACUUUUAUGUUUUAUGUUUUAUGAUUUCUUCCAGUGUUUUACCAAAUACCUAAAACACCCUUUUAUGGCAGAGAGAAUACGAAGAAUUCAAAGUUCGGGUCAAUGCACUUGUAGCAAAAGCACAAAAGAUGCCGGAAGAAGGCUGGUCUAUGCAGGAUGGAACUCCUUGGCCUGGAAACAACCCCCGUGAUCAUCCUGGAAUGAUUCAGGUAUUUGAAUGAUUGUUUGGUUGCUGAAAAUUUGUAUAUCAACAGUUGAUUGUUGACUUCUCUUGUUUAUGAUGAUUGGAAUUGGAUAGGUGUUCUUGGGGCACAGUGGAGGUUGCGAUACAGAUGGAAAUGAGCUACCUCGUCUUGUUUACGUGUCCCGUGAAAAACGUCCUGGGUUUCAACAUCACAAGAAAGCCGGUGCCAUGAAUGCUUUGGUAUGGAUCUCUUAAAAAAACAUGGAAAUUUUUUGUGUUUAUUGGUUGUUUAUGGAUGCGAUGCAAUUUGGUGUUACAGAUUAGGGUUUCGGCGGUUUUGACGAAUGGCGCGUACCUUUUGAACGUCGAUUGUGAUCACUACUUCAACAACAGCAAAGCUCUAAAAGAAGCCAUGUGUUUCAUGAUGGAUCCUGCCUAUGGAAAGAAGACAUGCUAUGUUCAAUUCCCACAGAGAUUCGACGGGAUUGAUUUACACGAUCGAUAUGCUAAUCGCAAUAUCGUCUUCUUCGAUGUGCUUUUCUGAACUUUACAGAGUCAAACUUAAAAAAAAAAAUUCAAAUUCAAAUUCCGAUCUUGUUGGGAUUUCAAAAAUCAAAAAUUGACAUUUCUAUAUAUAUAUAUUUUGUACAGAUUAACUUGAAAGGGCUGGAUGGGAUUCAGGGGCCGGUUUACGUGGGAACUGGUUGCUGUUUCAAUCGACGAGCUCUGUAUGGAUACGACCCUGUUUUAACAGAGGCUGAUUUAGAACCAAAUAUCAUUGUGAAAAGCUGUUGUGGUUCACGAAAGAAGUCGAGAAACGUUAACAAGAAGUACGUGGAUAAAAAAGCAGUGAUGAAAAGAACGGAAUCCAACACUCCAAUUUUAAACAUGGAUGAUAUCGAUGAGGGUGUUGAAGGUUUGAUUUUGAGUCUUUCACUUUAGUUUGUGGGUCCAGUGAAUCAUUAAUGUUGACUAAAUUCUUUUGUUUUUGAAAGGGUAUGAUGAAGAUAGAUCGUUACUAAUAUCGCAAAAGAGCUUAGAGAAGCGAUUUGGUCAAUCUCCUGUAUUUGUUGCUGCAACUUUCAUGGAGAUGGGAGGAAUUCCCCCCACUACCAAUCCAGCUACCCUUUUGAAGGAAGCAAUACAUGUUAUUAGCUGUGGUUAUGAGGAUAAAACCGAGUGGGGUAAAGAGGUAAUUUUACCCUUCUAGCUUCCGAUUCUUGUUAUACAUGGUCAUCGGAAAAACAAUAAUCUUCAUGUUAUUUUGUUUUGUGUACAAAUGCAAGCAGAUUGGAUGGAUUUAUGGGUCUGUGACAGAAGAUAUUUUAACUGGAUUCAAGAUGCACACAAGAGGAUGGAUCUCAAUAUAUUGCAUGCCACAACGUCCGGCUUUCAAGGGUUCUGCUCCGAUCAAUCUUUCCGAUCGUCUGAACCAGGUCCUCCGGUGGGCUUUAGGUUCAAUCGAGAUUUUACUCAGUAGACAUUGCCCCAUCUGGUAUGGGUAUAAUGGUAAAUUAAAACUCCUGGAGAGGCUCGCAUACAUAAACACCAUCGUCUAUCCCCUCACCUCCAUCCCUCUUCUAGCCUACUGUGUACUUCCGGCCGUCUGCCUUCUCACCGGAAAAUUCAUCAUCCCCGAGGUACGUUAAUCAUGCUUUAUGAGUUGUACGAUAUGCAUGAAUGUUUGUACAUGUUGAAAAUUGGGGGUUUUGCAACAGAUAAGCAACUAUGCUAGUAUGUGGUUUAUUCUUCUCUUUAUCUCCAUCGCUGCAACCGGAAUCUUGGAGCUCCGGUGGAGUGGCGUGAGUAUUGAAGACUGGUGGAGAAACGAACAGUUUUGGGUGAUAGGAGGCACGUCCGCUCAUCUAUUCGCCGUCUUCCAAGGUCUUCUCAAAGUUCUCGCCGGAAUCGACACCAAUUUCACCGUCACAUCCAAGGCAAACGACGAAGACGGUGAUUUUGCAGAACUCUAUAUAUUCAAAUGGACGGCGCUCCUCAUCCCACCCACCAGUGUUCUGAUCGUAAACCUAAUCGGCAUAGUUUCCGGCGUUUCAUCUGCAAUCAACAGCGGUUACCAGUCGUGGGGCCCACUUUUUGGGAAACUGUUUUUUGCAAUCUGGGUUAUCGUCCAUUUAUACCCGUUUCUCAAAGGUCUGUUGGGUCGGCAAAAUCGAACCCCCACCAUUGUUAUCGUGUGGUCGAUUCUGCUUGCUUCGAUUUUCUCCCUUUUGUGGGUUCGUAUCGACCCCUUUACCACAGACGAUACUCUUGAUGCAGUUAAAGGACAAUGCGGGAUCGAUUGUUAGGUAUAUAUAUAUAAAGUUUCUGAUUUGCAAAUUUGUGUAAGCCGUGAUGUGAUGCGAUGUGAUGUGUACGAAUGAUAUAAUUAUUUGAUUUAUUGUUGUUAUCCCACGAAUUCAAUGAAAAAUUUAAGUAUAACCUUAUCUUAAUAUGUCGGUUCAUUACAUUCAAUUAAGUUGAGUUGUAUGCAAAUUUCUUGUUAUUAUACAGUAUAUUACAAAAUUCAAACACUAUCUUCUUCAUAUUUAAUUUCAUGAAUUUAGUCUUCAACAAGUACAUAUAUAUAAAACAAAACAUGAAAUUCCAUACACACCAAGGUUCAUGUCAGAUCCUGAAACAAAAGAUUAAAGAAAAUAAAGUUAGAUGGUUGUAAAUUGUAACCUAAUGAAAUAUAAGAAAAGUUGGGGUUUUACUUACUCAAUAUAUUCAACGUUGAUUUUCUCCCUUUGAGACUUGGAAAUGGCAGAAAAAGCAUCAUUUGACAAAACAAUAGUCGAAGGACACGGCCUUUUGGAACAAAAAUCUACCACCUUAACAUCAAUGGUACCAUCUCUACAUGGUUUAUUAUUUCCACUCAAACACUUGAGUCUGUAUCGCCUACCACAUGCUGCACCGUUAUCCCAUAGUCCUUCGCUCACUGACACAAAUAAGUUCCCCAAUGGGAAUUGAUCUGCUCGGUUGCCAUUGCACCUUGUGGCUACAUUAAAAAUACAUAUAAAAAAAAAUACUUCAAUUUAACUAUUAUUUAUUUAUUUAUUUACAAUGUCAAAAACAUAAUAAUUAGAAUCAUAUUUAAACUUACGUGUAUAAGGAGGCUCAUAGGAUGAGGCAGUGCCAAUUUCACUCAAACCACACUUGAUGUUAUUGAAGAUUAACAAUAAAAAUAAAUUCACAAUCACUCCAAUUCCCAUCGCUACAAAUUCCCUUUUCUUUUUUCUCUCUCUCUGUCAAAUACUAUGGUAGUAAGAUGCACCCCCUUGGAUUAUAUAUAGAUAUCGUAUGGAUUUAUUUAAAAGAUAUAGGUAUAGUUUGAGAUAUAUUGUCACGUGUUUUUUAAUAGAAAUGUGCUUAGCAUGUAUAUAGAAUGAAUGAAAAGUUGGUGAUCAAAUUGGAUAAACUAUAGAUGUUUAAUGUGAUAUAUAUCUACCUUUGCGCAUGAAAAAUGGAUUUAAUAGGUUUUGGUCAAUUGUGAUAUAAAGUUCUUGAUGCCUACCACUAAUUAGUUUAAGGAAAGAUGGUUUCUAACGUAAACAUAAAACAACUUUUCUAUCGUCUCUUUUAAACAGAAAAAAUAGUCAAUUUUGACAAUGGCACAAAAAGGCAAUGGAAAAGCAUAUGUAAGGAUUAUUAGAUAAAACGAUAGUGUUUUAAUGGAGAAAAAUUAUAUUUUCGGUGAAUUUUUUUUAGUUGAUAAACCCAUUGUUGGUGUCGAAUCUAUGAAAUUAUUUUGGCUUAUACGUCGGCUGACCGAUAUGAUUACCAAAGAAAGGUGCAUCCAGUACAAUCACCACUAACUAAAACCAAUGGCUCUAAACUGUUCGCAAUUUUUUAAGGAAGGGAAAUUCAUAUUUGAAUUCGUCACUACAAAGUGUUACAUGAUUCGUUAUUAAUAAAUAUUUUAUAUUACCUUUUAUCAUAUAAAUAAACAAUCCAAAUUUUAUUUUUAGAUGCAUAUUUCACAAAGCUUUUGUGUUUUUUUCGGUUCAAGUUUGUGUUAAAGUAAUUCAAUAUAGAUGGAGAAUGUCGUUCAAUAAAAGUAGUUUGUGUUAAAGUAAUUCUAUACAGAUGGAAAAUGAUGUUCAAUAAAAGUUUAGAAUAUCAGAUAAUCAAAAUUAGUUUGUCGAUAAGAUUUAUUAUUUUAAAAGAUGGGAUAUAUAUACUAAACUCUCAAUAUUUUUAACGAUUCAACAAAAAAGUCUUAAAUUUUAUUUUUUUAGAGUAAAAUCCUAACUAGCGGCAGUUUUUGACAUGUUUACCAUUUUUUGCCAGUUAGCCAGUAAUUAUGGUUUUACUAUAAAAAAAUAAAAUUUAUGACUUUCUUUUUCAAAUCGUGAAUUAAGACAUUACUGUAAAAAAAAAUUAAAGUUUAGGACUUUCUUAUCAAAUCGUUAAAAAUAUAGGGACUUUAGUGUAUAUAUCCAUUUUUUUGUUAGAAAUUUAAUGUCAUUAUAAUCUUUAAGUAUAAGAGUUAUUGAAAUCUGACCAAUAUGCUCUGGUCAACUAGAUUCUAUUAAAAUCAUUAACGUUUGAUUCUUGUUAAAUAGUUUUUUUUUAAUCUCAACAAAUCGACAUUGAAAAAAAUAAAGAUAAUCAAGAAAGAAAGAACCACGAUUGUGUUGAAUUUUUGCAUAAUGAUAAUCAAGAAAGAAAGAACCAGUAUCGUGUUGAGUUUUUUGCAAUCCUAAAAAUGGAGAAUUAAGAAACCGGAAAAGAAGAAAUUGUCCUUCUUACACAUUCUCCACAUUCACACAUUUUUUACCGGACAUGUGUUGUUUGUGUUUGUUGAAUUUGUUCCUCUUUUCAGUUCAAGAUUUGACGGCGAACCAAGAAAAAAGUUUUACAAGUCUUCUUACCCUCUAUCGUUCUCUCUUUUGCAUCAGUUUCCCAGAUUGUGAUCGUAGCAAAGUAAGAUGAUGAUGGUAAGAAAAAACAAUGGUGUUGCAAUAAAAAUCACAAUUAAAAGUUCUUGGGAUAGGAAUUAGGUCUCAUGAGACUGAUAAAAUUAUUUGUUUCUAGGGAAACCAAACCUAUACACUAAAGUCUCAAUAUUUUUAACGAUUUAACAAAAAAGUCAUAAACUUUAUUUUUUUGACAGUAAAACCCUAAUUACCGGCUAACCGGCAAAAAAGAGUAAAUGUUUCAAAAACUGUCGAUAAUUAGGAUUUUACUGUCAAUUGAUUUUAAUAUUUUCAUGCAAAAGACAACUGUAUUACGAAAGAAAUAACUGUUAACCGUAACUACAAUAAGGUAUUAAAGUUAUAGAAGUUUCAAUCCUAAUAACGCAUAAUUUUCACUUUUGGUUUAAUAUGUUUAUAUUAUUUAUCUAAAAAACAAAAUCAUAAUAAAUAUAUUUUGAUUAAAUGUCACAGAAAAACCACGCCCAUGUCAAUUUUGAUUGUUACAAAAUGACAAUUUUUUUGAAAAGAGAUAUCAUACCGUAUUAAUAAGGUGGUGUUUGUUUUUUUUUCAAAAGCUCUUCUAGACCUUUUAUGUCUGCAUCGCGUAGACGACCCACAAACUUUUAGUCCUAUAGACUGUUUGUUUUUUAGAAGACCGUACGCAUAAAAAAAUCUGUCCAUCCUCUUCUUGACGUAGAUGUGAACAUAUGUCUUCUAGUCUCUUUCUUAAUCUUUCCACUAAUCUUAAGAGACAAUAAAAAAGCGCAAAAAGAAUAAAAAAAUGAAAAAAAAAACCUAUCAAACCUCAUUCGUGCACCUUUUUUUUUAAUUCAUUUGCCAUGUAAACACUUUGUAAAUAUAUUAUUUUAAUGAUUUUAGCUUUAUAAACUUUAUUUGGUCAAAUAAUUUUUUGGUAUUCAUAUUUUAAAAAACUUUAUGCAUAUUUAUCCGAUGACUUUUUAUAACAGUAAUUAAAAAAGUUAAAUAUACUACAAAACUUAUGAAAGUAUUUUACGAACGUGUUUUUUUUCUUCAUAAAAUGGACAAUUAAUUUGUUAUAUAUAUAUAUAUAUGCUUAUUAUAUGAUAACUAGGCUCGUGCGUGUGAACAAGUCUCCGUUUGCCACCUAGCACGGUAUCUNNNNNNNNNNNNNNNNNNNNNNNNNNNNNNNNNNNNNNNNNNNNNNNNNNNNNNNNNNNNNNNNNNNNNNNNNNNNNNNNNNNNNNNNNNNNNNNNNNNNNNNNNNNNNNNNNNNNAUAUAUAUAUAUAUAUUGAAAAUAAGGUGGUUGUAUUAUUAAAUUACAAUGUUUUUAUAUAAGAAAUAUUGAAAAAGUCUUUUAAAUUAAAAAAAAAAUCAAUUUAUUUAGGUUUUAAUUUAUUUUAGCAGUUUGUAGAUUUUAAAAAACAAACAGUCUUCUUGCAGACUGCAGACGUUUGGUCCAUAUCUUCUACUGCAGAUGUCGUCCGCAGACUGCAGACAUUUUGCUUCUGAAAAACAAACACCAUCUAAGUUUCAAACGCAUAAACAUUUAUUAACAAAAGACAUGUAAACGUGGAUUAUGAACUAAUGACAUAGAUAUACGAUAAGUACUAUAAAGAGGAAAAAGCAUAGUUAAGAUUGACCCAAAUUGUAAUGAUUAUAGUCUUGCUAAUGUAAAUAUUUAAUUAGUUUUUCUUGAUAAUCAUGAUAAAUGAUACUUUUUGACUCAUGAGUGAUGAAUAAACAAUAGUAUAUAUAGAUUUACUAAGACGAAAAAAGACAUGAGUUUUAAUGAUAGAAUAUUAUUGAAAAAAUAAUAAAGAAUAUGAUCAACUUUAAAUUAGUGCCCGGAUAAAAUCGAAGUUUUAGAAAGUGCUGAUUAGUGGCGAUCCUUCAUUUUUUUAUAACUUUAUUUCAAAUUAAUGGUAAUCAUGUAUAAUAAUUAAUAAACUUACAAUACGCUAAUAUACAUUACAAUCAUUUUCAUCCUAUGUGAAAAUAAUUUUUGACAUAUUAUUCGUUUUCAAAUUAUAUAGAUGCAUAGGCAAUAAUAUGUCUUUUAUGUGAAAUAAUGUGUGUUUUUUUUAUGUGAAAACAUGUUUUUUAUAUAUAAAAAUAUAUUUUCACAUAAAAAAAACCUGUUAUGCAAAAAACCUUUUGGACCAAAUUUAUAUAGAAACAUAUUUUUCACAUAUAAAAACCUUUUUAUAACAAAAAUGUUUUGUAAAAAAGGUUUUUAGUAUAAAUAUGAUUUUAUAAAGCAAAAAUAACAUAUUUCGAAACAAAAUUUUGGAAAAAUAUAUGUAAAAAAAACAAAAUUUAAGAUGAAAUUGUAACAAAAUUUUAAAAUAGGGACAAAAAUAUAAAAAUUGGACCAAAUUUAUAACAAAAUUUAAAAUCUGAGAAAAAAAUGUAAAUUUUAAAACUGGGAUGACCUUAUAGCCGGGAAAAAUGAUGAAAAUGAAUAUAUUUACCUGUAUUCGUAUCUUAAUUAAAAAAAUAAUAAUUUAAAUACUUAAUUGAAUAUAAGGUUAAAAAUAUAAACACUUUAUAGAUUUUCCUAUACUAAAUACUAUAGCAAAAUAUGUGGAAUUUGGUAUUUAGUAACUUUGGUCUCACUUUUGUUAAAUUUCUAUUUUCUAUCAUUUUACUUUUUGAAAAUUCGUUUUUACCUCUCGAUUUUUCUACUUAUUAACUUUGGUCCAUCACUUUUGUUAAGUUCUCAAAUUUUCAUCCUUUUUACUUUUGAAAUUGUUGCUUUUACCCCCUUUAACUUUCAACUUUCUAGAUACUCAACUCACUCAGCAUGAAGUAUAAGAAAAAAGAGAAGAGAGAGAGAGAGAGAGAGAGAGGAAGCAGCGGGCUGAAGAACCCACAUGAGACGUCUUCUGGCGGUAACCACCAAGGCGUGGAUUUGUUACCCUAGCCGUCGCACGACUCCGUGCACCCUUGGAGAGUAAUCAGUGUUAAAACACUAAGUUGCUUGAAAUAAGGAAUUUGAAGUUAAAUUGAAAAUUUAAAUGUAGAUACGAAAACACAUCAUCUUGCUAACUUGACAACUUAACGCCAUCUUAAGUGGAUACCAUAGAAUGACCCACGAGUGGCGAAUUUAAAAAAAGAAUCACAUGGUUCCUAAUUAAGUGAAGCCAAUAAAAAAAAUCAACAAUACUUUUGGAGUCGGGUCAGGUCGGCUCAUGUACCUUAAAAGAACUGAACAAGUUCAAUCGGCUCAUGUACCUUGUAACGACCCGUCUCUGGUAUGUUGUUUCCAUGUUAUUUAUUUAGAAGUUUUCAAGAGGGACUCGGGGAGUCUAUAGCCCGACUCGUCGAGUAGAGACGGGAUUUCGAGCACGUGUAAGUCGCCGACUCAACGAGUCCAUAUUCGAGACUCGGCGAGUCCGCCUGCUAGGAAGAAACCCUAAAUCCCCGGGUUUGCUCACUAUUUAAGCAAUGUUAUGUGCCCCAAACUCGCCUCCUUCACCCUCAGAGAGCUUGAGAGAAACCCUAAACCAUUCCUUGUAUGACUAAAGUGUUUUGUGUGGAUUCUUGAAGGAAAAAGAAGAAAGGACCCAAAAAGAGGAAGUGUAGAGCAAAGAUCCAAGGCCAAAGUCAGAGUUCAUUGAGGUAUGUCUCGGAAUUAUUCUGUUUUGUGCUUAAAACCUCCAUUAGAACACCUCUAAGGCUAGUUUAAUGUAUUUUCCAAGCUUUAUAGUUGUAUGGAUGCCUUGUUGGGUCGAGAUAUCCCUAGAUCUGUUCAUUUAGGAGUUUUAGAGCCCUGAUCUAGUGCCUUUUCGAAGUUUCUUUGCUUGAGAACCCUAGAUCUAGCCUUUAUUAUGCUUUUUGAGCCUUUUAAUCUUCAUGGGUGCAUAUGGGCACGUAAAGAUAGAAUCUUUACGUGUUAAUCGAGCUUAGGGAGCCCAGAUCUAUAAGUUUUAUGCGUUGGAUUCAAGCAGAAUCGAGUUUAUAGUAGCUGCAUGCAUGCGACUCGGCGAGUCGUUCUUCCGACUCGGUGAGUCGAGUCGUGAGUCCCCGAUUUUUCCUCUUUUGAGUAAUGCCGAGUGGGGACCAGUGAGUAGUAGAGUGGACUUAGUGAGCUGGAGGUCAGACUCAGUAAUGGAGGGACUCGACGAGUUGUUCAUACAACUCGGCGAGUCCAAGGCAAUCUUCUUAGCUCAAGAACAACUCGUCGAGUUGUUCAUACGACUCGGCGAGUCGGAUGCAGAUAGCUUGAGUUCUAGAAUCGAAAGGAAACUCGUCGAGUUUAUGCCAUACUCGACGAGUAGCAGCGAGUAGGGUUGAGAAGUGAGAAUAGGGACUAGGCGAGUUGGCGGCCCAACUCGGCGAGUCAGGUCAACUGUAGGUUGACUUUGACCAGGAGAGUUGACUUUGACCAGGGGUAAAAGAAUCAUUUUACCCCAAUACAGUGAUUAGUAUUUGAUUGAGUGUGUUUAUGGAAUUGUAGCCGGAGAGAUACCAGAGCAGCAGCAGAUAGCUUCCAGAGCCAUACAUUCAGCAGCCAGUUUACGAGGUGAGUUUCCUACCAGUAGGAACGGGUCUACGACAACAAUGCCGGCCCGUUUAGCUAGCAGUUAGUUCCGGACUUCGGUCCGAAGCAGUAGUUCAAGGUGCUUGAUGUUGUGUUUCGGGCAUGUCUAUGUGUUAUGUUAGCAGAUACGUGUUUAUGUUAUGCUAUGUUCAGACAGUUCCGGAUUUCGGUCCGAUGCAGCUAGUUCCGGACUCCGGUCCGAUGCAGGGGACAAGGUCCCAGUCAGUUCCGGAUUUCGGUCCGAUGCAGACAGUUUCGGACUUCGGUCCGAUGCAGUCAAUUCCAGACUUCGGUCCGAUGCAGUGGGCAAGGCCCAGUAUGUGCUUUAUUUGUUAUUGUGUGGUAUGCGGUAGUUUAGGGGAGCUCACUAAGCUUCGUGCUUACAGUUUCAGUUUUGGUUUCAGGUACUUCCGCAAGUAAAGGGAAGAACUCGGGAUGAUGCAUCGCACACACCACAACUUCAGUUUUUGUCGUGGGAGUUGAUUCAGUUUCUUAGAUAUGUUUUGAUACUGUUGUGACACAUUUUUUCUCACAGUAUUUUAUUAUGUGAUACUCAGUUUUAUGAUCUUUGUUAUAAUAUAAAUGAAAUUAUCGGGUCGUAUUUUUGGGAUGUUUCAAGUACCUUGUGCCACCGAUUAAAAAAAUUUUAAAAACCGAUUGAAAUAUAACUGAAAAAGACAUACAGCUUAACGAAAAACUAGUUGAUUAUUAGUCCAUUGAUAAAGCGGCGAACGCAGAGUGAGAGUCUUUGGCAUGUGGGCUUUCAUUUUAUUAGAACAACUUGUUUAUUUAUUAAUAUUUUGAGAGUGCCGAUUAAGAGUAGUUAACUUUUUAUUAUCAAUCUCAUAAUUUAAAAUAACAAAUUGUCCCUAAUAACUUAUAUUUUUCUCUUUUUAAAGUGGUUUUUUUUUUUAAAAAUAAAAAUAAAAAUAAACUCAAUGUAGGUUCUCUAUUUUUUUAAGACUAAAUUACACAGAUGGUCCCUGUGGUUGGCACGAGAGACCAAAGAUAGUCCUUAUGAGGAAUUUUGGACUUGUAUGGUCCCCGUGGUUCCAAAUUGUUGCACGAAGAGUCCUUAUGACAUACUCCGUUUAAUUGUUGUCGUUUAUUUAAAUCACGUAACCCUCACACGAGGGUAUUUUGGUCUUUUGCUUAUCCCUUCUCUCUCUCAUAUCUUUAUAUGAUCUGCAAAAGAUUUCCCUUCCCUAUAAAAAUUAAACCCCCAUCACUUCCUUCAUUAUUUUUCGUCUCCUCUAUUCUCUCUUCUCUCUUCUCUCUGCUGUGUCUUUCUAAGAAACUUUGCUUAAGAAUGGUAAAUUGUUUUUGUGGAACGCAAGCGGUGAUAGUGACAUCAUGGAUGGAUCUCAACCCAGGUUGUAUGUUUUGGAAAUGUCCUAGCAGUUGCGGUUUCAUUGCCUGGUUUGAUGAGCCGAUGUGUCGAAGGGUUGUGGCUGUCAUUCCAGGUUUGCUAAGAUCCAUGAACAAGCUUCAAGAAUCUCUGCUGCAAGCAAGUUUUGAAGCAAAAAAAGUGAAGAUGAUGCUAGUUUUUAGUUGGGUUUUCUUUUUCAUGUAUGUGUAUAAAAGAUGCUAAUAGUAUUAGUCUGGAGAUGAUGGUUCUUUUGCUUGUGGGUAGAUGAUGGUUCUUUUGCUUGUGGUUAGAAUCAGAUAAUAGUAUUAAUUUGAAGAUGAUUUCGUUUUGUUUGUUUGUGAUGCAAGAAAUGUUCGUAUGUAUGAAUGGAAUGCUUUUUAUUUGGGAAACUUUUAGUCUGCUACCAUUGUAAAAUAUUGGUCAGGAACUUAAUGAGUGUAAAAUAUUGGUCUGCAACUUAAUGAACCGUGCAGAUCCAUUAAAGUAUAAAAUAUGAAAGUGAAAGGUUUUUGUAGGCUUUAGACCAUUGUAGAGCCAUAACAACAUUAGAAAUGUUCAAAAAUAAAAUGCAAACUUUUGCAUAGUCAUAAAGUUCAUUACAUAACCUUAAAGUGCAAAGUCAUAAUACCAAAAAAAUAUCAAAAGAGCUUGCAGACUAAUGUAUCAUAACCAAAAGAACCAUCUUAGUCUAGCACCCUGUGUGAACCAUAAUACCAACAAAAGAUAAAGACACACAAUAACCAACUUAGUCUGACCUUUCUAAGGUACCAAAACAAACAACACAAAAGACCUUUCUAAGGUUCCAUAACAAACAACACAAAAGACAACAAAUCAAACUUUUUCCUUCAUUUUGGAUUUAUCCUUAAGUUUGGUUUUCUCCUUCAUUUUGGGUUUCUCCUUUUUUCCAUCUCCCUGCUUCUUUGCCUUGCUAAGCUUCUUGCCCCCUGCCACCACAUUUCUAACUUCAGUUUGUCCCCCUUGUCCCUUGCAACUCCUAGAGUUGUGACCCUUGUUAUUGCAUUUGCUACAAGUAACUGUAAGGAACUUCUUGGUCAAACUUUUACCUUGAUUAUUUGGUUCUUCAGUUUGAGCUCUCUUUCUCUUCUUUUUUGGUCUCCCCACCUGCAUAAUUAAUAAAUUAUAAAACAGUAUAAACGUAUACUAACUUGUAAAUUGAAAAUUAUUUACCUGUUUAGUAUGCUUAGGAGGUGUUAGUGUUAUGGGGAAAUCUGACUUUGGCCACAUACUUCUUCCAUUGAUAGGUUGAACUUUGUACUUGUACAUUUCAUUCCAUGUGCUUAACCUAUAACAUGGAUGUACCCACUCCUCAAGAGGUGGGACAUUUUUUCCCAGUGCCUGCAACUACAAUUCCUGUCCCUCCAAUUAACCACAAAUUGUUCCCCCAUUGUCCCAGUAACUUGAGUCUUAUCAGCACCAUUAAAUAUGCAAGUGUAUUGAGAAGCAUCUUUCUUAACUCCAUCUAAAAGUUUUGUGGCUGGGGGGGGGAGAGGGGCNUUAUCUAUCACAUUUUGCACAAUACAAAUUCGUUUCAUUAAGUAUUCCCUAAUAUAUUCUAAACAUGUAAUUAUAGGUUUGUCUCGAGCAUCUAACAACUUUGAGAUGAAAACUUCACAUAAAUUAUUCAACAAAAUAUCUGUAUGUGCUCUUCCUGUACAAUGCAACAAAAUAUCUUAUAAGAAUCUGUCAAAGUGUAAAUCUUCCUUGAAUCUGUCAAAGUGUCUAACUGUUGUUGCUGUUGCACAUUCCCAUAAAUGAUCUCUGUGCUCCUUCCCCCUCCAUUGUAGCUUCAUGUUUUCGUGAAUAUGUCUUAAACAGAACCUGUGUUCAGCGCUAGGUAAUAGGUUGGCAAUGGCAGAUAAAAUCCCCUAAUUAACAAGUAACAAAAAUGUUAUUUUCUAAAUGUAGUAGACAAAAUUACAAAGAUGUCAUGAACAAGUAUCAUAAGAAGAUUAACCUUUUGCCUGUCAGAAAUAAAUGUGAAGUUUGAAUUUGUAGAGAGCUCCAAAUCUUCACCUAGACACUCUAGAAACCAACUCCAUGAGCUUUUGUUCUCGGCUUCAACUAUGGCAUAUGCUAGUGGGUAGAUCCGAUUAUUGGAAUCAAGACCCACAACAGUGAGAACCUAUCCAGUGUAAGGUCCCUUCAUGAAAGCCCCAUCGAAACCUAAAAAAUCUCUUAAACCUGCCUUAAAACCCAGUUUUAAUGCACCUAAACAGACAUAAAUUCUCUUAAACAUCCUAGUUUCCAAGUCUGCAUUUGGUUCACUGUAUACAUCAAUCUUCACAAUUGUUCCUGGGUUGCACUGUUGUAAUUCUAAUACGUAAUCCCUGAGAAGGCUGUAUUGCUUUUGAUAAUCUCCAUAAACAUGUUUCUGUGCAAGUUGUUUAGCCCUAAAGACCUUCAUUCUUGACAUCCCCACCUCGUAUAUCUUUUGUAACUCUACACACAAAGCUUUGACUGGGAUAGUUGGGUUUCCUUCCACUUCUUGAAGAAUGAUGGUUGUAAGAAACUUAGGCCUCAUUUGAUAGUUGCCGAUUGAGAAAGUGCUGACUGAGAAAGGUCUGUCUGGGUAAGAAAUCCUGAUUGGGUAAGAAAUCCUGUUGUUUGAUUGUACAUCUGACUGAAUGUGCUGAGUGAUGAAAAAUGACCAUUUUACCCUGCUGUUAUAUAUAUAUAUUGAUGGAUUAAAUUGCUGAAUAAUUAUAAAAACAUACAUAUUGUCAUACAAAAUGUAAAUUACACACAAAUAAAAAAUGUCAUACAAAAUGUAAAUUAAACAUAAAUCAUUUAAUAUCCAAAUAAAAACAUAAUGAAAUUUAAAAUAACAUAAUAAUUUAAUGUAAAGUAGGUGAAAGUAGUCGAUUUGCAAUCUGAUCACGCAAAACACGCAUAUAUUCAACGGCUUCUGGACCCCAUUCUAUGCCUUGUAUGUUUUCUCUAUCAAUUCCCCCACCUUGGACGUCAGGAGUAACCAUAGUGUCCUCCUCAAAAUUUCUAAACAAGUCAUCUUCUAUAUUGUAUUUCCUUAUAAAAUUAUGGACCGCGACACAAGCAAUGACUAUGUCUCUUUGCACUGUAAAAGGAUAAGGAGCCAUUUGUUUUAAGAUUGGGAAUCUCGCCUUCAAUACACCAUAAGCACGCUCAAUAACAUUUCUAAGUUGUGCAUGAGCAUGAUUGAACCUUUCUUCUCUAGUUAAAGGUCUGCCUCUUCGAAAAUCGGCUAACCAAUACCUAGUAUUGCGGUAUGGAGCCAUAAACCCACGAGUGUUUGUAUAUGCGGCAUCACAAAGGUAAUAUUUAUCUGCAAACGAAUGUGACAUAUUAUAUAAUGACACAUAUUAUAUAAAGAAGAUAGAUAAUAAAAAUUAUAUAAAGAUUACAAACCUGGUGGAGGAAAUGGAAAUCCAGAAGUCGAAUUGAAUGCAACUUCUUUCAAAACUCUUGAAUCAUGUGCUAUACCCUCCCAUCCAGCCCAAACAAAGGUGAAUAUCAUAUCAAAAUCACAAAUUCCUAUUACAUUUUGAAAACAUUCUCCUUUUCCUCUUCCUCAAUAACGAGUUUGUUGAUCAACAGGUACAACCGCACGUACAAGAGUUCCAUCUAAUGCACCAAUUGCUCCGGAAAAAAUAUUUUUUAACCGUCUAUGUCGUUCUGAGUUAUGUCUUGUUGGGUUAGGAGUUGUUGGUACUAUAAUUUCUUUUGCAAAACACAUCAUUGCUGUUAGGACCUCGUGAAAACAUUGAUGAAUCGUUUGUGUGGAGUGAUGAAAUCUUCCCUUAACCGCGCGAAAACGUUCAUUAUGUCCUAUAACAUGUAAGAAGAUAGCCAUCUUCUCUUCAAUGCUUAUUGUCCUACUAGCUUGCAACCAAUUUUUUUGGGUAAAAUGGUUGCAUAGUAAUGCAAAUGCCUCUUGUGUAAGACGCAUCAUAUCGAAACAUUGUGUAGGGUCUCCGUAUAUCAAAUCUUAUGUAUACGCAUACCCGCUUGAAUCGUUAUCUCUAAUUCUAAGAAUUCUGAUUAGUCUGCGCCGGUUUGACCUCAACCAAUAAAACACAAGUAAAAGAAAAGCUACAACUUCACCAUCAGAAACCAUACUUGAUCUAUUACAAACAAUUAGGUAAUAUGUUAAAGUAAAAAAAAAAUCAUGCACCAAAAAAAUUAGUAAACAUCAUUAAAAGUAACAAAAGUCGUAUAACAAACGUUGUAUAACAAAAUACUAGUAAACAUCAUCCAAAAAAGUCAUCAAACUAUAUAACAGUAAACCAAAAAGUCAUCAAACAUAGGAUCCAAAAAACUAGUAAACAUCAUCCAAAAAAAGUCAUCAAACAUAGGAUCCAAAAAACUAGUAAACAUCAUAAAAAAAACUAGUAUCCAAACUUUUCUACCCGCACCUAUCAAAGGUAACUAUACUUCCUACCCGCACCCAUCACCCACGACUCACAACUACUAUGCGAAAGUCGUAACCAAACUUUUCGAACAUCAGCACUUUCACCAAAUAGCAAAAGAGCGGUCUUGUGUCUUUCAUCUUCUUCUCCCCAUUCCAUUUUGUUCAAUUUCUCCAUACACGCAUCAACAUCCUUAUCCAUUUCACUUUUUUCAAUUCUUUCAUUUUUUUUCCACUAAUAACCUUACAAUCUUGACAAUCUCCUCUUCAACUUCUAAUGCCCUUGCAUCUCUUUUUUUUCCACCAACUCUUUUGUUUCCACCAACUUCCUUAUUUUUGAACGCCCCGAAGAUUCUUCACUUGCACCUACGUGUUGUGUUGAGGUUUCCAUUAGAACAUCAUCAUCAAAAUCAUGGGGACUAAACUCUUCUACAGGACAAGGGAGUGUAGAAGAUGGCCCCCAACUUUGAGAUCCGGUUGAUGUCAACCCUUCAAAUAGUUGGGUGCAAAGAUCAGGGAACAAUAGGGGUUUAGUUUUCAAUGACAACACGAACUUGUUCAACUGUUUACAAUUUUUAUAAAUAUUAGUAUAUGUUAUAAAAAUAAUCAUAAUAGUAUUGAUUAAAAAAAUAAAUUUAAUCAAAUAGUAUAUGUUAUAAAAAUAAUCAUAAUAGUAUUGAUUAAAAAAAUAUUACCUUCCCCUCUUCUUUCCAUUGUUCAUCGGUCAAAUUAAAUUUAUUUUUUAUAGGAUCAUAUAUAUUGCCGGUUUUGUUUUUGAGUUUCACCCAAGCAACAUACUUUGAUUUGUAGUAGUCAAAGUGGUUUCUCAUUUGCUUCUGAUCAACCUCUUUACCGUGUUCGUUUAUCAAUUUUUCGCGUAUUGUCUUCCAUGAACUUGCCUUAAGCCCAGAACCCUCACGACCAUUAGUGGUUAGUUCAUGGAUACAUGCAUCAAGAAAAGUUUUGUCCUCACUCUCGUUCCAAACCAACAUCCUAAAACAUUAAUAUUUAAAGUAAUUUAUCAUAGUUUUUAUCAAGUUAAAGAACAAUUUUAAACAUAAAGCAAUUUUCAACCAAGGAAGUUAACAUCAUCCUAAAUUAUGAUUUGAUAACUUAUACACAAACAAUUUCAGAUGUCACAAAACAUCAAUAUUCAAGCUAACAAUUUCACAAAAGAUAACAAGCUAACAAUUAAGGUCAACAAUAUCAAAGCUAUAAAAUUAGAAAGAAAAAAAAAACAGCCCAAUUUUUGAUUUUAUAGCUUAUACUUUUGAUACUAAUACAAGCUCAAUAAUUGGAAGACAUGUGAUGUUGCAUGCAUUCCCCCUCUCGCCCACUCUUCAAGGAACAAUUGGAUUAUUAAAAAAGUUAGGUUACCAUUAAUCUUAUAAUAAUUAUUUAUUAUUAAUUUUACUUUUGUACUUUACACAUAAAAACACAACNAAAACCAAAAAAAUAAAAAAAAAAAAAAAAAAAAAAAAACAGCCCAAUUUUUGAUUUACAAACCUACUUGUAUUUUCCAAUUCACAUUCAAUUUCAAUUCACAAGCUAUAAAAUCAAAAUUCAAAAAAAAAACCUUCCAAUUCACUUUCAAUUUCAAUUCAUAAGCUAUAAAAUAUGAACCGGAGAAAAAAACUUCCAAUGUGAAUUGGAGAAAAAAACUUCAAAUUCAGAAAAAAAAACAAAAAAACAAAAACAAAAAACAACUACCAAUUCACAUUCUAUUUUAGAAUUCAUAACAUUAGAAAAAAAAACCUUCAAUUUUCAGUUCUUAUACACAAAGAACUACAAAACAAAACAUAAACAAACUUCCAAUUCACAUAUAAUUUCGAAAUUCAUAUAUUAGAACAAACAAUUUCAGAUUUCAGUUCUUGUACACAAAGAACUACAAAAAAGAACAAAAAAAGCUUAUCAUAUGAACAUACAGGUUGAGAAUUCAUAAUAUUCUAACAUAUACUAAUUUGAUUUCAUAAAGAACUACAAAUUUCAUACCAUCAAAGCAUAAAUGGUAUCUGAUUUUGAAAAUUAUUAACAGAAAAAUUAUCUAACCUGUGUGAUGGAUCGAGAAGGCGUCACUGAUGGCGGUGGCGGAGGUCCGACGAGAUGGCACAGGUCCGACUGGUCGGACUGUUUGGCGUUCAAUGUUGUGGAGUUCUUCCUAGCGGCUGCUGUGCUUUUAGGUCACUAGAAGGGAAGCGAAUGGGGAAAGAAAUAAUAACGACGCAGGGGCAAGAUAAGGGCAAGAUUGUCUAAUUUCCAGUCAGCAACUGUUUAAAAACUGAUCCAGAAAGCGAUUUGGGUCAGCAGAUCUUACCGAGAAAGCUCAAAUCAAACACCAAAGGUCUGACCGAGUCAGCCCAAUUUGCUGACUCGACCCAGUCAGACAUUUAUCAAACACUCCCUUAGAAGUGCACUCUUUAAUAGACCUUGACUGCACACAUCUAUGCUCAUGAACCAAAGUUUUCACCAUCCAAUCGCUUUCUUCAUCAGAUCUAGAAAUUAAUACCACCCAAGGGCAUGUUGCUUUUUGUGAGCUGACUGUUUUAUCCUUGCAUUUGAUUCUACUUUUUGUCCAUGGCCCACCUGUCAUUUUCGGGACCACACCCCUGCAUUUUGCCCUAAUUCUUUUUUUUUUAUCAUUUUUUGAAAAGUAAAUGUUUCUCCUAGUUCGAAUUGAAUGCAUUUUAAUGUAGUCCUUCACUUCUGAUGAGGACUUAAAUAUUUGACCCAGAUGGAAUGCAGUUUCAUGUACUACUCCUGAUGAACAUGUGGUUGGUUUGUUUAACCUUCUCAUUAAUUUCUUCCUCUCAUCUUCUUCUACACCAGUUGAUUCAAAUAAUUGUGUAUCUAUCACCUCCAAAUCCUCAUCAACUGUGACAUCAGGUGCAUUGAAUGAUUGGUGGUUAUCUAGAUUUGGAAAAGAAUAAACACCACUGUGGAAGUCUUUCAUAUUCACUUCGACAUCCUCCACCAUAUUAAGUUCAUCCACUAAAAAGUCACUAUCGUCGCUUAUACUUCCAUCGGUACUAGUCUCAUCACUAAUAACAUCUCCAAUUUCUUCAUUUUCCCCCAUCUGUUGGUAAUCAUUAUGAUCCAUAUAAAAGAAAGGAUCAAAGUCUUCUGAAGGGACAACAUCUUGGGCUUUGUUAAGCUCCUCACUUGCAGGAUGAACUCGAACAUCUUUCACUACAUCUCUAUCAAAAUGUCCAAAAGGUACAACAGACCUAGAAAAGUCAUAGUUCUCAUUCAAGUCCAUUUUUCUACUACAUGAUCCUACCUUUGUACUUGUAAACUUUUUUCGAUUGAGUUCCGGAGAAAUAGGCUCAUUGAUUUCUUCCGAUACGACCUUAUUUGGAGAUAUAAAGUAUGCAUGGAGUCUAGUAGUUCCAUGUUCAGUAUACACCAUAAUCUCUUUAUGAUUAGCAACAUGCUUACUUAACAAAAGUACGUCUGAGUUGUUACCUAAAGGAAGUAACCCAUAAUCGAUUUCAAUCUCAGGAAUCAAGAAGUGGUAGUAGAUAGGCUCACCGUUGAUAUAACCUAUCUCCUUCAUCAUAUCGUCUAACUCAUGUACGGAAAACACGUCCAUGUCUACGUAGUCAACAUAGUCAAUACUCCCACCAACGUAACGUCUUCCUGGGUAUUUUGUGAACAUACCCCCAUGGUGAAUCUUGAAUGUGCAAAAACUACUUAACUCAACUGAAAAACAAAUAAAUAAUGAUAUGAGGAAAGAAUGAAGUCUCAAAAUUGAAUGUGCAUAAAUUACUUAACAAAAUUGAAAGUUGUUAACUGAUCACUCACCAUAAGCUUUGAUCAGGUCAGGAUUUUCUGAGAAUUUUGAACGGACAUUCCACAAAGUUAGAACGAUCGCAAAAGAUGAAAAUGAAAACCCUAGUUUCCGUUUGAUGUUUUGAAGUGAUGAAGAUGAAAAACCAGAGGAGAAAAGAAAGGGAUGAUUUCUUGGGGUAAUGUAAAUGGCAGCUAGAUGUAAGGAUCAUUUAUGAAUAUGAUCAUUUCGUGUAACAAAGCAAAAGACCAAAAUACCCUCGUGUGAGGGUCACGUGAUUUAGAUAAACGGAAACAAUUAAACGGAGUAUGUCAUAAGGACUAUUCGUGCAACAAUUUGGAACCAUAGGGACCAUACUCGUCCAAAAUUCCUCAUAAGGACUAUCUUUGGUCUCUUGUGCCAACCACAGGGACCAUCUGUGUAAUUUUGUCUUUUUUUAAAGAUAGUUCAUAAUUUUUCUAUUAUAUACAUUGUAAAUGAAAUUGAGAACUUAAGUAGGUCCUAGGACCUACCUAAGCACAUGGUGGAUACGCCCCUGUUACCCACACUAACCUCAUACACUUACAACACAAAUGAACUUGAACGGUCUAAGACCAAACCAAGAUAUAAUAUGAAAUGUGUAAGUAUAGUUUAAUAGAUGAAAGUGAGGUGUUGUUUGGGCUUGAAAAGUAGGGGUGAGCAUGGUGCGAUUUUUUGAGAAAACCGAACCGCAAACCGCAAGAUGCGGUUUCUAUAGGGUAAAACCGAUAGGUGUGGUUUUUGUUUCGGCGUGGUUUUACAUGCAUUUUCGGUGUCAUUCGAUGCGGUUUCGGUUUUUAACUGAAAAUAUGUGUUGGUGUGAUUUUUCAUACAUGUGUUGAUCUACCAAAGAAGUAAUAACCCCUAAAGAAGCUAGAGCAAGGCCUAAUUGAAAAUGAAGCCAAUUAUUAAUUGUGUCAUAAAGACCCUCAUGCCCACGUCUCAAUCGCCCUCUUGGAGGGAUAUGUGCAUCUAAAAGAUCUUUCAUACUGUGCCCAAUCCCAAAAUUAGUUCUAUACAUAUGCCCAACAAUAAGAAAAAGAAAUGCAAUAGCUAAAUAAUGAUGAGUCAUAUCAGCAUGUCCAAACCCGACUUUUCAGUUAACUUUCCUUUAUUUCCGGUACAGAUUCUCAUUUAAAUGUAUUUAACAUGCUUGUGAAAUAGUUAUAUGUUAUUCUUAUCAAAAUAUAGACUUCUUUAUGAUAUUACGAUUUUGAGAUUUGAAUUAUAUGUUUGAUGCAACAAGGGAUUUGGUUUUAUAAUCUCAAAUUCCAUUACUUAAUCAUUAUUGUUUAUACAGAUAGAGGCGGCUUUUGAUUCGAAUUGCAUUUUGCUUGUGAUAAGCAAAAGGAAAAUUGUUAAUGGUACGCACUUUGAUACAAAUGUCAAAUUUUAUAAAAAUAUAGCAAAACAUAAGGCAUGCACAGUGGCAAAAAGAACUGAAGAGGUCGAAGUUGAACAAAAUAUACUUUUAUUAAUAAGUAUUAUAAUAUAUUAAAUAUUGUCAGGUUUUUAUGGUGCUGUUUGGCAUUGUCCAAACCGCACCACACCGAAAAAUUACCAAUUAAGGUUGGAUUGGAAUGCAUAAUUAUCAAUUUAUCCUUAAUAAGUCAUAAAUCAACAAAAAUGGCCCAACAAUUUUCUUAAUCUUAAUUGUUGCCUUUGGAUUAGAAAUCAUCAACGAUCAAGAUUGGUUCUCACAAUUCUCUAAUCUCUACUUUUAUGUUGUUUUCAUUUGAACUCAACCCAAAAAUCUCACCAGUAAUCACCACACGAACAAAUCCCGUUCUUGAAAUGAUGAAACCUAUUUGUAUCCCGAAGAAUAAUUUCCCGCUCAACAAUCUUGGAAAUAAGCUUAGCAGCAAUAUGACAAUCCUCACAAACACGUAGAUUUUUAGUAAUCCGUAUAGGCGUAAAAGCUUUAGUAUUUAUAAUCACAAACACAAUAGCAAGCUUCUCACUAUGAACAGCAAGAUGAUUUCCUUUAUCUUCAUCUUCUAUAUCAUGAAGUGCAGAAUCCACUUCAGGAACAUACCCAAAAUCCCUCAUCUUCCCCACAAGUACUUCCAACUCUUGAUAAAUCUGUUUAGAUUGUGGAUGGGAUUGAUCUCCAGCAAGAAACGAAUGAACUUGAUUAUUAAGCUCAACAUUACUAACACCGGGCUCUUUUUUCACUCCUUUUGAUUUCAUUAUUGAACGAAUAUUUGUCACAUCUUUAAAUCUACCUGCUUUUGCGUAUAUAUUUGAUAAUAAAACAUAAUACCCUGCUUGUUCAGGGACCAAUUCAAAGAGAUGAUCUGCUGCUACAAGACCAAUUUCCAUGUUGGAAUGAACUUUACAAGCACUUAACAAAGCACCCCAGAUUCUAUCGUUUGGUUUUGUUUUCAUUUUCUUUAUAAAAUCAUAAGCUUCAUUGAUUCUUCCUGAUCUUCCUAGCAAAUCAACCAUGCACGCCAAGUGUUCGAGUCUUGGAAUGAUGUUAUACUCUUCGGUCAUCAAUUUGAAGAAAUGUUUUCCUUGGUUUAGUAAUCCGGCAUGGCUGCAGGCUGAUAGAACUGGAACGAAGGAAAUGGAAUCAGGGGCGAUUCCGGAAUUUUGCAUAUUUGAAAAGACUGUGAUAGCAGUUUCACCAUCUCCAGUCAUGCCAUAAGCAGAGACCAUGGAAGUCCAGGAGACGACAUCUCUUGUUGGCAUUUCAUCGAACACCUUGCGUGCUUCGUUUAAAGACCCACAUUUAGCAUACAUGUCAAUCAAGGCGUUCUCUACUGUUAGAUUAGGAAGAAGCCUUUUUGUUUUUACAUAUGAAUGAAUCUUUCUUCCUAGUAAUAAAGCUGAAAGAUCUCCACAAGCGGGUAGGAUGCUAGCAACUGUGAUUGAAUCCGGGUCGAUUCCGUAAUUCUCCAUUUGUUGAUAAAGAUUAACUGCAUCUUUAGGCAUCGAGUUGUUGACGUACACAGCUAUCAUGACAUUCCAAGAAAUUAAACUCUCUCGAGCGUGAUUCAUGAACAUUUCUUUCAUAAACAUCACGUUGGUAGAUGAAGUAGAAGUUGUUAAAGCAGGGGAAAGGCUGGCCAUGGUGCCUGCGUUGGGUUUUGAGGUAGAACAUUGCAUCAUUGUCUUACAAAUCUCCAAUGCAUCUUCAAACAUCCGGUUUUGGGCGUAGGCAGCAACCAUAGCAUUCCAGGAGACGAUAUCUCUACUAGGCAUUUCAUCAAACACCUGGCGUCCUUCCAGUAACCGGUUACAUUUUCCAUACAUUGUAAUCAAUCCAUUCCCUACAUAAAGAUUUGAAUGCAGACCCUUCUUGAGAACAGCAACAUGGGUUUGUAAUCCGACCCACAAAUUCUCAGACACGGAACAUGCUUUUAGAACUUGAGGAACUGUAAAAUGAUCAGGGUUAAUGUUGAACUUGAACAUGUUUCUGUACAUACGAAGUGCUUUUUCGUAGAAUUCAUUGUUUACGUAGCUUCUAAUCAUCACAUUGAAGAAGACUACAUCUUUUUGAGGAAAUUCAUCAAACAGUUGGCGGGUAACUGCGAUUUGGCGACAUUCAGAAUAAGCUUUCAUUAAUUUCAGAGCAAUAUGCGAUGCUGAGACGAGGUUUCCAUCAAUAAUUAACCUACAAUGUAUCUUUUUCAAUUGUUUGAUAUCUGGGCACUUGUCCAAGAUUUUGAUACACAAGUCUUCUGUGAUUAACAUGAUUGUUAAGGCGAGAUUUGAAUGAAUUUGAACUUAUAUUCCUUUCGCCAUGUUGUACCUGAGGGGCAAUCAAAUAGAAUGGACGAAGAUAACGAAGGUUUACUUGGUGGUGUUCACUUAAAAACAAGAAAUAUGAAGUUCUAAACGCUAUUUCUUGUUAAACAGAAAAUAUUUUGUCCAAUCUAAAAAUCCAAUUUUUGAGUAAGUUCAAGCUUAAGCUCAAAAAUAGUAAGCAAAACAUGUUUAAAAAAUAAAAGUUCGUUUGAAACUCUUUGGAUAGCUCGAGUAUAACAAUCAUCAUAAUUAUAGUCAAUAAAUCAGGCUCAAACAACCAAACUUGAUGUCCAGCCCUUGAUCAUCCAAUUGCCAACUGAAAUCAACUUAGUUUCCGGUUUUAGAAUCGCCCUAACAUUACAUAAGCACCAACUAGUUCCAAAAGUAGUUUUUAAUUCAAUGUCUCCCAUACCCGUGACUUCAAGGGUUUCCAUGUUACCCAACCUUACCAACUUAAGAUAAGUUCUUUACUUCAAUUACUAUAACAGAUCGAUGAGUCAUGUUCUAAUGACCUCUCGUCAUAUGAUGCAAUGCUUAGACUCGAGUCUUUUAAAGUCAAAUUCUAUAAUGAAAUAUACAUUCCUUCAAGUUUCUAAUGUGAUAUAAUCACAUUCUAGCAUGUAUCACUUCUAGCUACAAGCUUCUUACUUUAACAACAAUCACAAUACUUCUAUUGAUCGCUUUGAUUAUCUUUCAGUUCAAUCUUCUGGCUUAAGUCAGAUGCUACAUCGAUCUUGGUUCUCUGAACCACGUACAAUACUUAUCCUAGCUGUAAUCGAUUUGAUAUGACCACUAGGGUCGGAAUAACAAUCAUCUUCUUAGUCAUUACCGAAAUUAUGGUAAUGACACAUGAACAAAACAGAAUCAAUUACUAGCGUCUUGGUAACUCGUGACUUUCCCUGAUCCAAGUGCGAGUCGUGUGCUUCCAGUAGUAUAUGCCUCUACUACCUUUCACACCUACUCAUACUUGUCCCAAGUAUUGUCUUUCAGUUCUCCAAGUCACCAUAAAAGAAUUUCACAUAGUCAUUUAACACAUCGAAUAACAAAACUAAGGUUUAUAUUAUUUCUUGAAACGAUUACAUAGAUAUUCAAGUUCACCUUAUACCAUGCCUUUUAUAUUAGGCUACACCACAUGAUACUAUCUAUAUGGCUACUUUAUAUCUCGAUCUUCAGAUAUAUAUAGAUCCCUACUCCUAAUCCCUUGUAUCGUCACCUGCUUCAUCCAGGUUAGACUUCGAGAAUCUUCCUUUCUUAUCGAAUCUUGAGGAUCCCUCAAGCUUCUUCUUUUCUCAUGCCUUGUCUUAUUCCAGACCCUUUUUCCUAAAUUAGGUUUCCAUAUUCUUGGUUGCUCUAACGGUUGUCUUCAAAGUAGUUGCCAUUUUUACCAUUGCGCCAAAUUAUGCUGGCAAUCCGUUAGCAAAACUAUCUAUCUUGGAGAGUUCAGUAGCACCAAGUAGGGGAAUAACUUCAUCUGCUCGGUGAAUACGGUGACAUACUCAUCAACACUCAUCUUCCUUUUCUUCAAGUUCGAAACUCGUUGUUUAGGUCUAUCAGAUCUAUCUCUGAGCAGUAUUGCAUUUUCAACUGCUCCAUGAAUGCUUCCCACCUCAGGGCUUCUCCCCCAUGGCUUUGUAUCUGCCAAUAACUUCCACCAACUUAAAACUCUGGUCUUUAGUUGUCUGACUGUAAAGACGGUUUUCUGCUUGUUGCUGCAAUUGCAACUUUCAAAUGUCAUCUCUAUCUCGGAGAUCCAAUCCAUGAUCUCUACUGGCUUCGGGCUUCCAGAAAGACUUGGUGGUUUGGCACCUAAGAAGUUCUUAUACAUACGUUCAUCCUUAUCAAUCGCUUUUUUCGGGUCGUUCCUCCUUGCCACUCGGGGUUCAGCUUGACUCACUGUACGACUGUAAUUUCCCUCCUCCGACAAUUCUUCAUUCAGUUCGGGUUGCACGAUAGGCACAAUAGGUUCAUCCCUAUUAUCAAGAAACAUUUUUCUCAUCUCCUCCCUUUGUUCGGCCAUCAUAGCCCAAAUCAUUGCUUAGACUCUUGCCAUCGUGAUUGGCUCGGGUGCAGCUACUACCUCUGGUGCACAUUUAAUCACUCGUGGUUCAGGCUGUUAGUUUUCAUUAGCAUUUUCUAAUAUGUUGCGAGUUCUCACCAUUUCGAUCUAUACACUCUAGAGAUGUUCAGUGUACAGUGACGAGAAUUAAGAUAUGGAAAGCUUUAUUUACGACAGCCAUAUAAAUCUUCUUAUCACUCGUAAAAGUUAUAUACUAGUUCUAAUACCGUAAUUAAAUGUUUGGAAAUUUUGAGCAAAUGACGGUUCAUCAACAAUAGAGCGAAUCUCAUUUAGGAAUUCGUUGAUAGGUCGAUUUCCUUUAGGAUUUUUAGCAAGUUUGGAUUUUAAAGAGAUGAUUCUUGAGCAGGAGGUGCUGGCAUAGCUUGUGUUGAGAUGCUUUCAUGCUUCUUUUGUGGUAAAUACAGAGGUAAUGAUAGGUUGAAUGAAUUGCAUCUGAGCAUGAACCAAGAAUUGCAUCGAAUACUACAUGAUCUUGGCGAUAGCAAGUCGUGUAUUCAUGAUUAGGUUUGGAUUUGUCUUUGUCGAUAAUGAAUUUUGUGGUAGGAUCAGUCACCCAUGUGAUGUAAUCUUCCAGACCUAGUCCAAUAAAUGUGGACUGCACUUGUCGCCUCCAUACAUGGAAGUUGUUGGUGAGUAAUUUGGUAGGAAAGUGACUUGAGGCGGUGAUUUGUAUUUGGGAUGAUUGUGUCAUGGUGAUGUUGAUGAAAAGGAUUAGAGGAGAAAGGCAAGAUGAUCGAUUGACUCUUUAGAGUGUGUGUGCUCUGAUACGAUAUGAGAUUUGAGAAUCAAUGGGCUCGAAUGAAUAAUUUCAUUUACAAAGAUCGAUACAUAUAUAGAUGGUAACGAGAGUUAAAGAGCUAUACAUGGAAUUUACUAAGAAUAGAUUGCAAUUACAUACAAAUAGAAGAGAUUAUUGUAGAUUAGUCAUGAAGAUGUGUACGAUGUUAUAGUUAGAUUGCUUAUUUGCAAUCCAUGUUAGCUAAGUAUGUCAUGUUGAAUACAAAUUGUAUUAAAACAUUAAAGUUCCAACCAUUAUAUGUUGAAGAAGAAGCAAAUACGCCUUAGUCACACCCAUUCUAAAUGAUAUGGAUGUUAUGGUUGUCGUUUCUAUGCAACCAAAUCGUGAUUCCAAGUUGCAGUUGUCUUACCAAUAUAUCAUGUUAGGAAAAGAUGACAUAGCAUGAAAUAUUGUAUGUUACAACAAAAAGAUAUAUCUUAUAGAUGUCUUGCACAUGGGUUAUUCCUUUUUAAGCACUUAUAUAAAAAUAAUAUCACGUAUGUAUGAUAUCUAUUUUGAGAGAUUUUUAGCAAGCAACUCUUUGUCUAUUAUUGUUAUUGGAUAGAAAAAGUAUCAUCUUCGUUGGGAAGAUUUUACUAGGAUUAGAUUCAUAAUAGUUUGUCAAAGAUUUUACUAUUAUGUAUUUAUAAACCCAUGAAGUUUUCUAUUAAAUAAAUAAAUAAAUAACCAUUCACCAUUUAUAUCUUUUUGGAAUAGAGUUUGUUAAAUUCUAAUAUAAAUAAAAAGAGUAUUUAUUUAGAUUCACACAUUACAAAAUUACAAACUCCAAGCAUAAAUCCGAAACUUAUUUUUAAACUUCUUCAUUUAUAUUACAAGUUUUAUUCUUUUUUCCCAACCCACUUGGGGUUUCGAAACCCUAAAAAAGUUCUAUCCAUGGAAGUUCAUAUUUAUUUCUUAUCUUAAUGAAUUUAAGGUCUAAAUCAAUAAAUGGCAAUGUAGAAUUAACCGCAUAUAUUAAGUUAUUUUUGGAAGCUUUCCAACACAACACAGAAAGGAAAUGAUGAGAAUUUAUGGUACCAAAUAACAAAAUAAUCCCGGUUCCUAUAAAAAUUUAUUAAAGCUCUACUCAUGAUUUCAUAAUCUCCUCUAAUAUGAGGGUUACGUUAUUGUAAUAAUAACUAUGAUAAUGUAAAAGCCAUAACAUAAAUCGUCUUAAUUUAAGAAAUAAUAUAAAUCCCAAGAUAUUGUUUUUAAAAUAAAAAGGAAAAAAGUGGGAGUCCAUUAGAAGGAGCCAAGCUGAUUAUUUGAGCCAAGAGAGCACCGAUUUGUUAUCCUUCCACUGUUCGAAGCGAGAGGUUAUCGCAGCUCUGUGAAGCCAGCCUAACGCAUUGCCCUCUGCUCUAGGAACCAAGAAGCCCAAGCCUUCGCUCAAGCCACUUGAUCCAACUCCGAACUUGGAACGGGCAAACCAGAUUUUGCAACAGCUUUGACCCAACCAAACAAGGCUCGAUCUCAGUCCAUCCCACUUUAGAGCCCUCACUUGAGUCACAAGCUCGCGUUACCAAGCUCGGCGAUAAACGAAGUCCAUUUGAUGUAUAAAUAAUCGGAAAAACUUUCUCCUCCAAGCGAUGUGGGAUGCGAAACGAAAUAUUUUCAUCUUCAUUCUCUCUUUAUCUCUGUCAAAUACUGUGAUUACUGAUUACUGACUACUUAAACACCCAUGCAACGGAUUUCAAGUAUUUUUUUCAAUCCAUGGAUUUAGAACUGUAAACU
rnacentral:lncRNA from 1 species